UUUUUCUUUGCAAUCCUAUCCUAUGAAAUUCCUACAAAGUUCCUACAAAUCAAAGGAGGCCUGGCCUUUUUUAAAACAAGCAGUAGCAAGGCAUAUUGGUUCAAAAAGUAGUAAGCAAGCACUCAGACUAACAAUGAAAUAACAUAAGAUACACGUAGGUAGCGAUUACAUCUCAGUAGAUUGCUCCACUAACUACUUAGUACUUCCACUAGAAUCAUGGAGCCCUUUAUUUGGAGGCGCCUAGUAAAAACCCUAUGAAUGAAUAGAAACACAAAUGAUGUGAAAUCGUGAAAUGAAGAGACUAGAGUACAUGAUGUGCUCCAAUUCUAGCUUGUUCGAAAAGGAAUUUUAAGGGUAUCCGCCACUGCCAGACCCGGAUCCGCUACCUCCACCGCCGCCGAACCCACCAUUGUUGCUGCCGCCUUCACCACCACCCGUUCCAGCACCGGUUCCAGCGGCAUAGCCUUGCCCAUAGGAGCCAGUGCUACCAGUCCGUCCGCCUCCAAUGCCAGAGCCAGAACCAACUCCCAUACUCGGACCUUGAGCUACGCCUCCACCCUGGCCACCACCGUUGCCGCUACCCCCUCCACUUGCAUUCCCCCCAGAAGUGUCAUCGCUGGCGGCCUGUCCAGCUCCAGCGCCAUUACCACCUCCAUUUCCACCGUCACCACCACCACCGCCAUUACCACCACCGCCAGCUUCAGAGUAGCUGUCACCACCAGCAGAAUGAGCUACAGCCGGGGCGGUUGCUAUGCCACUCUCACCUUCUCCUUGGCCAACACCCUUUCCGGCUCCAGAUCCGCUUGACCCAUCUGCGCCACCACCUCCACCACCGCCCCCACCCUGACCAUCAGCACUGGCAUACCCAUUGCCACUAGGGGCUGACGCUGAGCCACUCGAACCAACACCGUUGCCACCGCCAGAGCCGGAACCGGAUCCGGAUCCGCCUUGAGAACCACCGCCAGCACCAUGCCCCCCUCCUCCACCAAGUCCCUUGGCAAAGUUAUACUUGUUACUGGAAUCUCCACCGUUCUCGCCAUAUCCCAAGCCACCACCUCCUCCAGCCCCAUGCCCCCAUCCACUGCCACCCCCUCCCGACGAGCUGCCACCACCUCCGCCUCCCCCGCCUCCACCUCCAGCACUUGAGGAGCUAGCCAACAUCCUUGAAGCAUUGGUGAACCCAAUGCUCACGAGGACAACAAAGGCAAGAGCUACAAGCUUAGUGCUAGUAGCCAUUGUGACUUGUGAUUGAGAGCUCGGUGGAGUGUGAGAUGAGUUGGGUGUUGAAAGAAGAGAGGGUUUCGUGGGUAUAUAUAGUAGCGGAAGCUGUGCAUGCGUGAUUGAUGCUGAGUGUUGGAUCUUACACACAGAAGGUGCACACGGUAGCAUACAUGCACACCGUUGACUGCAAUGAAUGCAUCGAUCAAGCAAAUCUCUUCAUAUCUUUCUUUAUAAUCUCUAACUAAUUGAUGAGAACUGGUCAGCUGUAGAAGGGACUGAAGAUACGUACUGAUGCUUGGUUGGGAAUUGAGAAUCAAUCUCCUGUCAGACACAUUAAUUAAUUCUUCUCUUGAUACGACCAGCUGUAAUUUAAGAACCAUGACGGCUAUUGUUCUGAUCGAUACUGAUGAUGUGCUUUCUGGGAAAACACCCGUAAUCUAGUUUUGGGUUGCAUAAAAACCCUAAGUUUUAGGAAAACCUUUAGAAAAAAACAUCUUUGUUGCGAUUUUUCGUGUGAGUUAUUUUCAUUUAGAUUGGUUCUCACAUGUUGAACCACAAAGUUCAAACCCUAUACUACGUAUACACUGUGUGCAUAAGGGAAAUGAUAGUACUGCUGAAGCUAAGGUGCCCUAAAAGAUCGGGUCGCAAAUACAGAUUGAUAUCUUGCCUUGAAAUUCAUGCCUCCGCCACGUGAAAGAACGUGACUUCUCUUAAUCGACAUUAUGACCUCACGAUCGAUUGCAUAGUGACCCAUGCAUGAACUGGAACCCGUGGAUCCCCAAGAUAGGUCUAGGAGAUGUAGAUCACAGGGAAUCCUUUGACAUUGCAGUUAUGCAUGCCACUUGACCAUUAUGAAUCAUGAUUCAUGAACGCCGCGGAUCUAUAUAACAAGAACAAGAUACAUACAGUAAGUAUACCGUUCCUAAGGCAUUGUCUUACUGUUAAUUUAGUACCAACAGAAAAUGAUGUAUUGUAUGGUUUUUGCUUAACUAGUGUGUAACAACUAAUGAUUUCGAUAAAUGGAAACAGUGACUCGCCUAAACCGUAAGGUGCAUGCAUUACCAUAACACUAGUACUCCUACAUCUUACUUCCUACAAGCACAUGAACUUGGCAUGCGGAAGAUGGAGCUGUGCUGUGACCGUCCGACGUCGGUCUUCGCCGUCGGUGCAUGUAGUUUGAGAAAGGCUCCAGCUAGCCCCACGCUAUAGCCACUAGACGAGUAGAGUUAAUCUUCUGGUAGACGACGACGGAGAGUGCUGACUUAGAUUAAUUGCAUAGUACUACUCGUAGGAUUUAAGGCUAACAGCGGCGACCUAGGAUUUAGCACUUUAACGCGUCCUCGAAGUUCAGAAAUUUGACCACGUACUUCCAUACACAGACAGAAACACACUUGGAGUAUGCUAUCUUUGGGAUCGUUAUGGCGACGCAAACACCGAGAGUUCGACCUACCCUAGGCUUACGAUUUUGUAUUCGAUUAUCCACCUGCAUGCGAGAUCCUAACUAUAGCAAAGCCAUUUUUCUUAAGAAGCCCAUUUUCCUUAACUGGUAAUUAAUUCAUCAUCUAUCAUGUCAGUACAAAGAACACCGGAGGUUACAAAUAAAAUUACAACCAGGUCGGUAGAUCACCUAGCGACGACUACACACCCUAGAGCGAGCCAAAUAGCGUCGUCAUUAUCGCCCCUCCCUCAUCAGAGCAGCGCAAACCUUGUUUUAGUAGGCAGUCGUGAAGUUAUCGUACUAAGUCCUCAAACGACCAACCUACUGAAAUAGCAACCGUCGCCGAUGGAGAGAAGUUUAUAUCGGAAAGAUCCAACUGACACCACAUGAACGACGACGAACGUAGACUGGACCCAAAUAGAUCCAUUGAAGACCAGCACCGGCUAGAUCCCGUAAGACUAAAAUUAUUUGGAACUUCAUUAGAAUUACUUUAAUGAUUUUGAUUAGCAUGUUAAUACAUUGCCCCUCCAGCAUCUUAAUUGAUGGGAUCGAUCUUUAAAGGUUUUGAUCUUCAUGUCAUUGCAAAAGCCAAGUGAGAGAAUGUAACACUAGUAGAAAACAGGUUUACGUUCGGGCCAGAUAAGCCCAUUAGUCCCGGUUCAGUCACGAACCGGGACCCAUGGGCCCAUUGGUCCUGGUUCGUAAGGCCAGGGAGCCUGCCGGGCCUCAUGGGGGCAUUGGUCCCGGUUCGUCUGGCCCCUUUGGUCCCGGUUGGUGGGACGAACCGGGACCAAUGGGUCUCGCUCCUGGCCCACCACCAUUGGUCCCGGUUGGUGGCUUGAACUGAGACCAAAGGCUGCCCUUUGGUCCCAGUUCAAGCCACCAACCGAGACCAAUGAAAUGCCUAUAUAUACCCCCUCGCGUAAGAGCAGAGCACACUGCUCUAUUUUUUCUGGCCGGCGAGGGGAGAGGGGUUUGUGGUGCUCUAGCUCACCUCCUAUGCACACGAGGUGUUCGAUGGAAUGCCCGAGCCACACUACUUAAGCUUUCUCCUCUCCAAGCUCGACCUCCAAGCUCCAUUUUCCUCAAUAUUUGUCUAGGUUUAGUGGUCCGUCACAUCCCGUCCCCGUCUUCACCACCGUCGAUCGCCAGCGUCGAUCUCGUCGCCGGCACCACCGUGGUGAGCCUCUUGUUCUUAUCUUUUUUCUGAAAGAAAAAAAAAUUCUUACUUGUAUGUUUAGAUAGAUACUUCUAUAAUUUUUUUUACUUUUAUUAUUGCUUCUUAUUAUAUAGUGCGAUGGCUUUGGUAUUUGCCCCGUCGUCCCUCGUCUUGUCUAUGAUUCGGAUGUGGUAUAUAUUAUCUUUAUAACUAUUUGGUUCAUUUAUUGUUUAUGACAAUUAUGUCGACCAACGUGACAUAGAUUUUUAUUUAUCUAGGAGAUAUGUGAACCGGAAAUUCCAACCGACCCUAUUGUCGAGAGGUUAAAUUUAGUUGAAGAAGAAAACAAUUUCUUGAAGGAAAAAAUAAAAAAAUUGAGGAGGAGAAGAUGAUAUUGGAGUUGCAUGUUGCGGAUGUCGUCGAUAAUCACAAGAUCAAGAUGGAUGCAAUGCGCUUGAAGAUUAGAAAGAUUAGAAAAUAUGCCAUUCAUACCGAGGCUUGGUAUCAUUAUGUCGUUGGAUCAAUUGUUACCUUGAUUGCGAUUACGAUCGCAUUUGUUUUCGCAUUGAAAUGUUUUACAUAGUUUCAAUGUAUGGUUUAGUUAAUUAGAUGCUCUGGAGAGCUAUAUGUUGUUAGAUGAGAACUAUGUAUGUACUUUGGUUUUAAUGUGAUGAUGAACUUUUAUUAAUUUGGUCACAUAAUUAUCUAUUCAUGAUGUUCUGUAAUGGUUUUUGACACACUUAAUUAUAUAUAAUGCACGUAGAUGAACCGGCAAUGGAUGUACGAUGAUAGACACACCUCCGAAUACAUUAAGGGUGUGCAUAAUUUUCUUGAAGUGGAUGAGGCAAACAAGCAGAAUGGUUUUAUGUGUUGUCCAUGCCCUAUAUGUGGGAAUACGAAUUCUUACUCUGACUCGAAAACCAUUCACACCCACAUGCUUUAUAAGGGUUUCAUGCCACACUAUAAUGUUUGGACCAAGCACGGAGAGAUAUGGGUUAUGAUGGAAGACAACAAAGAAAAAGAGGACGAUGACAACUAUGUGCCCCCUGAAUAUGGUGAUGUUGUAACGGGGGAAGCUGCUGAAGAUCAAGAGGAACCAGACGAUGUGCCCAAUGAUAAUCUCCGCCGGGUCAUUGUUGAUGCAAGGAGACAGUCCGAAAGUCAAAAGUAGAAGCUCAAGUUCGAUCGCAUGUUAGAGGAUCACAAAAAAGGUUUGUACCCCAAUUGCGAAGAUGGCAACACAAAGCUCGGUACCGUACUGGAAUUGCUGAAGUGGAAGGCAAAGAAUGGUGUGCCUGACAAAGGAUUUGAGAAGCUACUGAAAAUAUUGAAGAAGAAGCUUCCAAAGGGUAACGAAUUGCCCGACAGCAGGUAUGCAGCAAAGAAGGUUGUAUGCCCUCUAGGAUUGGAGGUGCAGAAGAUACAUGCAUGCCCUAAUGACUGUAUAAUGUACCAUGGUGCGUACGAGGAUUUGAGCGCAUGUCCGGUAUGCGGUGCAUUGCAGUAUAAGAUCAGACAAGAUGACCCUGGUGAUGUUUACGGCGAGCGCCCCAGGAAGAGGGUUCCUGCCAAGGUGAUGUGGUAUGCUUCUAUAAUACCACGGUUGAAACGCCUGUUCGGAAACAAAGAGCAUGCCAAGUUGAUGCGAUGGCACAAUGAGAACCGUAAGAAAGACGGGAAGUUGAUAGCACCCGCUAACGGGUCGCAUUUGGUUUAAGCGCGAAUGCAUUAAUCCUUUCAGGGAGAAGAGCAGCAAUCACAGCACCUAGCCCGUGACUCUAUGUAUGUAUAACCUUCCUCCUUGGAGGUGCAUGAAGCGGAAGUUCAUUAUGAUGCCAGUUCUCAUCCAAGGCCCUAAGCAACCCGGCAACGACAUUGAUGUGUACCUAAGGCCAUUAGUUGAAGAACUUUUGCAGCUGUGGAAUGGAAACGGUGUACAUGUGUGGGAUGAGCACAAACAGGAGGAAUUUAACAUGCACGCAUUGCUGUUUGUAACCAUCAAUGAUUGGCCCGCUCGCAGUAACCUUUCAGGACAGACAAACAAGGGAUACCACGCAUGCACACACUGUUUAGCUGACAUCGAAAGUAUAUACCUAGACAAAUGCAGGAAGAAUGUGUACCUGGGGCAUCAUCGAUUUCUUUCAACCAACCAUCAAUGUCGAAAGAAAGGCAAGCAUUUCAAAGGCGAGGCAGAUCACCGGAAGAAGCCCGCAAUGCGUUCCGGUGAUCACAUACUUGCUAUGGUCAAUGAUUUACACGUAAUCUUUGGAAAGGGUCCCGGCGGACUAUCUGUUCCGAAUGACGCUGAGGGACGCGCACCCAUGUGGAAGAAGAAAUCUAUAUUUUGGGACCUACCCUACUGGAAAGACCUAGAGGUACGCUCUUCAAUCAAUGUAAUGCACGUGACGAAGAACCUUUGCGUGAACCUACUAGGCUUCUUUGGCGUGUAUGGGAAGACAAAAGAUAUACCGGAGGCACGGGAGGACCUGCAACAUUUGCACGAAAAAGACGGCAUGCCUCCAAAUCAGUAUGAAGGUCCUACCAGCUACGCUCUUACCAAAGAAGAGAAGGAAAUCUUCUUUGAAUGCCUACUCAGUAUGAAGGUCCCGUCUGGCUUCUCGUCGAAUAUAAAGGGAAUAAUAAAUAUGCCAAUGAAAAAGUUCCAGAACUUGAAGUCUCAUGACUGCCACAUGAUUAUGACGCAACUGCUUCCAGUUGCAUUGAGGGGGUUCUACCGGAAAACGUCUGAUUAGCCAUUGUGAAGCUAUGUGCAUUCCUCAAUGCAAUCUUUCAGAAGGUGAUUGAUCCAGAAAUCAUACCAAGGCUAAGGAGUGAUGUGGCGCAAUGUCUUGUCAAUUUCAAGCUCGUGUUCCCACCAUCCUUCUUCAAUAUCAUGACGCAUGUGCUAGUUCAUCUAGUCGACGAGAUUGUCAUUCUGGGCCCCGUAUUUCUACACAAUAUGUUCUCCUUUGAGAGGUUCAUGGGAGUCCUAAAGAAAUAUGUCUGUAACCACACUAGGACAGAAGGAAGCAUCUCCAUGGGCCAUCAAACAAAGGAUGUCAUUGGAUUUUGUGUUGACUUCAUUCCUGGCCUUAAUAAGAUUGGUCUCCCUAAAUCGCCGUAUGAGGGGAGACUGACUGGAAAAGGCACGCUUGGAGGGGACUCAAUAAUAUGCAGGGACGGGCAUUCUUGGUCUCAAGCACAGUACACAGUUCUAUAGAACUCUACCUUGGUGACCCCGUAUGUCGAUGAACAUAAGAAUAGUUUGCUCUCCAAACACCCAGAGCAGUGUGACGACUGGAUCACAUGUGAACACAUCAGGACUUUCGGCAGUUGGUUGGAAACACGUCUCAGAGGUGACAACACUGUUUGUGAUGAGUUGUACUCGUUGUCCAGGGGACCAUAUUCGACUGUAUUGAAUUACAAAGGAUACGAGAUAAAUGGAAAUACAUUUUACAUGAUCACCCAAGAUCAAAAGAGCACCAACCAAAACAGCGGUGUCUACUUUGAUGCAGUAACCAAGAGGGGAAAUGACACAUAUUAUGGUUACAUAGUGUACAUAUGGGAACUUGACUACGGACAUGAUUCUAAGGUCCCUUUGUUUAAGUGCAAAUGGGUCAAUCUGUCAGGAGGCGGGGUACAGGUAGACCCACAGUACAGAAUGACAACAGUGGAUCUAAACAAUCACUAGUAGAAAACAGGGCUUUUGUUCAGGCCAGAUAAGUCCAUUAGUCCCGGUUUAGUCAUGAACCGAGACUAAUGUGAGCAUAGGUCCCGGUUCGUGCGGCUAAAGGCAUUAGUACCGGUUCAAAUGAUCCCUUUAGUCCCGGUUUGAGACACGAACCAGGACUAAAGGGUGUGAUGCCCUUUAGUACCGGUUCGUAUCUCAAAUCGGGACUAAAGGUCUAAUCUUUAGUCCCGGUUUGAUACAUGAACCGGGACUAAAGGGUGCAAUGCCCUUUAGUCCCGGUUCGUGUGUCAGGACCCCGACUCAAUGCCACAUCGAUCUAGCAUGUAACACCUCAUAUCACUUUGCGGCAUCACGCAUGAUAUUCCCACGGGUGUCGCCUUACCUUUGCCCAGGACCGUUUGCGCCUUUUGGCACACGUAUGUGAUAGUGUCGCUAGCAUCCAUAUGAUAAGGAGCCCGGGCUGACAUGGCUAGUCGUAAACCCAAAGUGGCACAAACUUACAAGGAUAGGCAUCCAUGACCCAGCAUCGAACGUGUCGGUCAUCAGCGAGUGAAUCCGGUUUGUAGCACUGGGCUAGCAGGACUCCGGUAAAUCGGGCUGUAGCGGGCUAACAGGACUCCGGUAUCCAUUGCAUGACAUUUCCCCGAAGGGACAGACACAGGAACGAAGAAGGACACAUGCCGGCCAGCCUAAGUGUUCCGGAGCAGUAGCAAGCUACCAUGGCUCAGUGGAAGCACUAGGAGACAUUUCUCGGUAAGAGAGGCUACUAAGGAUAAACAACUAGAUAGUCAGAUCCCACACAUACCAAGCAUUUCAAUCAUACACACAAUAUGCUCGAUAUGUGCCAAUACAACAAGGCAUCAUAACGUGACUCUACAACACAAGUACUUUAUUUAAAGGCUCAGAGAGCCAUACAUAUCAUACACACAAGUAUGGGUCACACGACCCAGCAUUCAAGUCAUACAAACAUACAAGCCAAUAACGGAAGUAACUUGUCUGAGUAUAGACAACUAGUAAAAUAAAAGAGGCUUGGGUAAGCCUGACUAUACUACAUGGUCCAUCGUGAGCUCAGGAUCACCACUUGGGCUUCAGCCUACUCAUCGACAUCGACGUCUACGAAGAACCCAUCAGAAGGGGUUGCAGCGUCUUCUGUAAAAUGUAAAUUAAGCAACAUGAGUACAAAGGUACUCAGCAAGACUUACAUCAGAUCUUACAUACAUGCACAUUAUCAAGAAGGGUUGGUGGGGUUAUUGCAGCAAGCCAGCUUUGACUCUUGGCUAAGCUAUCUUACGUGACUCCAACUUGAAAUGGUUUUGCGCACGCGAGUCCACUACUCACCACUUCAAUACACUACCGAGGAUCCACCUCCAUCAUCCUACGGAAGAGCCAUCCUCGGCACUCACGCUUAUCUUGAGGCUUUUAUUAGUUUCCAUUUACUUGUCUAUGAACUGUAUAGGUAACAAAGUAGUCCUUUACCGCGGACGCGGCUAUUCUAAUAGAUAAUGUUAACCCUGCAGGGGUGUACUUCUUCAUACACGCUCUCACCACUUACCACUGUUUACAUGACAUGUACUCGGCAACCUUCAAUCGGAAGCCCAACGUGGGUGUCAGCCAUGACCUACCUAAACACCUAAGUCUCUAGUCCAGGUUUAUCGCCUAUUCAGCUUCCAUCCGCAGGGAGUCCGGCCGAGGUUUCCACAUACGGCCCCGAACGAUGUGUACAGGGUUCCGAGACACCUAACGGGUGCCCGGUAUACCCGGCCACGUACCUACCGCAUCACAGCCCACCCCGCGGGUCAGUGCUGCCCACGGCCUCCAGUAAGCUACAAACACCAGAAACUACUUGCAACUCCUGGACAGAGGACUAGGGUGAAUAAGAAGCCGAGAGGGUCCAUUGGUUUCGGGCCCAAUGCAUGGUAGUAGCUGAAUCUUAAAUCACACAUACAGAUCUCAGUGCUUAAGGACAACUUCAAUGAAACAACCCACCAUGUACUCCUACAUGGCCUCUCAUCGAUACCUUUACCAAAUCGUGUUCAACACAUCACUCUCAUACCGACAUGAUCAUUUCACUCUAGCCCAUCACCCAGAUGAACCAGACCUGAAAACGACUCUAAGCAUAGCAGGCAUAACAAGGUAGGAACAACACAUACAUAUGGCUCAAUCAAUUCCUACACAUGCUAGUGGGUUUCAUCUAGUUACUGUGGCAAUGACAGGUCAUGCAGAGGAAAUGGGUUCAACUAUCGUAGCACACAGCAGUUUGAAUCGCGUUGUCUUAAUGCAGUAAAAAAGAGCAGAGGCGAGAACAUGAGAUUGUAUCGAUACGAUCAAAUGGUUGGUUGCUUGCCUUGCUGGUCCGUGGACUCGUAUUGCUCUUCAUUAGGGUAUUCGCGAUACUCCUUGGGGGCAGAACCUGCCGCAGAGAGCACCGAUACACAAUCAUCACCAAACAAUAUGCAACAAUAUGAUGCAUGCAUGAGACAUGUAAAAAUGAGUGUAUUGGUCUAAUGCAACUAAGACCAGAUGGGUUUGAACCACUUUGAACCAAAGAUUCAAGUUUCGAACUCAUAAAUGGCCCUUAAUAGUGCUUUAACUUGUUCUGCACUAAACAGCAGGUUAACUUGUUUAAACAUGCAUGAAACCAGUACAGAUGGAUAGAUUAGAUUUUUCUGAUCAUUUUUCAUAUAUAACACUUUGCUUUUGGAGCUACAGAUUAAUUUCUAUUAUUUUUUGAAGUUUGUGGUAUUUUCUGGAAUUUCUCGUGUAAGAAUAAUUCCAGUUUAUAAAUUACUGCUUCAGCAUUGCGUCAGGGUGACGUCAGUGGUCAACGGAACGGUCCAGGUCAAACCUGACAGUGGGUCCCGUGUGUUAGUGUCAUUAGUUUAACUAAUUUAGAUUAGUACUAAUCCUGGAUUAGUUAGCCGGGUGGGCCCCACCUGUCAUUGACCCCAGGGGGGUCAAGCUGGGCCCACCCGUAGUCAAAUGGGGUCAGCAGGGUCAACUCACCGGCGUUUAGCCUACGGCGAGGCCAAACGUGGCGCUGCAGGUGCGGGUUUCGCCUACAGGGCACCGUUCGAGGCGCCGUUGGGCUCUACAUUUAGCUGGGAGCGAGCCGCGGCGGGUGGGGCUAGUGUUGGGCUCAGGGUCACCGGAAAUGGCGUCGGCGACGAGUUUGGCGGCAGCCGGAGCUCGGGUGAGCUCGGACUCAUCGCUAGGGGGCACGACGAGGCGCGUGGGUUAGUGCGUUGAGCUCCUGGGAGUGUGGAGAGGUUAGUGGACAGGGUGGCGCGGUCAUUGAAUGGCCGGAGCCUCGUCGGCGACGAGCUCAGCGGCGGCGCGUUCGUACGAACUCGGUUUGCUCACUGUGGUGCACGAGAAGGAGAGCAGAGAGGAUAGGGAGGUGGCCCAGCUCACGGUGGUUGCGACGGAGCAGACGGCGAGGUCGGAGACGAGCCAGAGCAAGCGGGGCGGCGAAGGCGAUCUGGCCGGCAGGAGGUUGACGAUGAGCUCGGUGGAGACGCUCGGGGACCUCCGGCGGGGCGUGGCUCGGCAAAACGGUCGAGGAGGAAGUGGCGAAGCUUCUGGACACGGUGCAGCGGCGUGUGGACAACGGUGGGCGCGGUUACGGCGGCGGGACGGCGGCGGCUGCGGCGGCCAUGGCGGGAGAGAGGGAAGGAGAGGGCAGGGGGGAGAGUGAGGUGUCCAGGGGGUCGGGGGAGGAGUGGGUGAUCGACCCAGGCUAGCAGAGCGGCGAGGGGAGGAAGUAGGGCGGCGGGAAGCUGCAUGGCGCACGCUGGUGCCGGCGUCGAGCACCUACUUGCCUGCCUGGCCGAGUCAAGCAGCUCGCUGAAGCGGCUGCUGGGCUGGGCCGGCUAGGUUGGCCUGCUGUUGGGCUGCCAGGUGAGACCAGUUAAGAUCCUCUCUCUCUCUCUCUCUCUCUCUCUCUCUCUCUCUCUUUUAUUUCUGUUUUCUAUUUCUCUGUAAGUGUCGGCUUUAUUAAAAAUACUAAAACGUUUCCAAAAAUCCUGCAAAUAAUUGUGGCCCUGUUGGGAUUAUUCCUUACAGCCCUCACUUAAAUCCAGAAUUAUUUGGGCAUUUGAAUUAUUUUAUAGCAUUUAAAUGCCCAAAUGCAAAUAGGUAAAGAAUUAAUCCAGUGACCUUAGGUGUCCUAGAAAAAUGUGAACCACUUUUGGGAGAGGUUCUGAACCAAGACAAAAAUGAUGGACAUUUUAGAAGGGCAUUUCAGGUUCAUUGAAAAUAUUUUUAGUAAACCCUAGUUGGUUUCAGAGGGGGCUGGGGGUUCUUUCAUCCCCAUUUCAAGUUUCUAAUGAAUGAAAUAAACAUGAUGCAUCACUCUAAUGCAUAAACUAUCUAGGGUGUGACAUCGUGUCUCAAACCGGGACUAAAGGUCCCAUUUUCAAACUCUAACCCCCCUGUGGAUCGCCUUUCCAGUUUUGUAAAAAACAAAAGAAAAUGAUAAAAACUUCAAAAAUUAAAAUCCUUCGAGAUGUCGUUAUGUUACUACAUCUACUAGUUAGGAAAAUUUAAAAACUUAAAUUUGGACAUGUUUUGCAAAAAGUAUAGGGAAAAUGUAAAACGGCUAUAACUUUUGCAUACGAUGUCAGAAAAAAACGUAUAAUAUAUCAAAAUGUUCAGCACGAAAAUCCGCAUCUGAUUUUGACUGCCUACAGCCUGUUUGCAAAUUUUUAGAAUCCUCAAAUUCUGAAAUAAAAAAAGUUAUGCUCAAAUUUCAAUUUUUUUGAAUUUUCGUUAAAUCUGGUCAAACUAUGGUCAAAGUACUUAUUCAAGAAGUAUUAAUGUUACUAAAUAAUUAUUCAAGAAUAUUAGUGUUACUAAAUAAUUAUUUCAGUUUUUUUGAAUUUUGGUCAAAUCUGGUCAAACCAUGGUCAAACUAUGCUCAAACAAUGGUCAAACUACUUAUUCAAGAAAUAUUAGUGUUACUAAAUAAUUAUUUUAUUUUUUUGAAUUUUGGUCAAAUCUGAUCAAACUGUGGUCAAACUACUUAUUCAAGAAAUAUUAGUGUUACUAAAUAAUUAUUAUUUUUUAGAACAAUAGUUUCAAACUCAAACAGUGAAAUGUGUGACUUCAUGUUCAAGCUAAAUUCCUGAGGGUUAAUAGGAUUGACAUCUUACUAUUGUCAGGAAAACAACAACUAGAGACUUGGAAACGAGGUAGAAUAGAACCCGGAAGUUAAGCGUGCUCGGGAUGGGGUAGUGAGAGGAUGGGUGACCGUCCGGCAAGUUAGAUGAUUUGGAAUGAUGAGGGGUGAUUACAUAUUAGAGGUUAAAUUGAGCAGUGAUGAAGGGUGAUUAGAGAUUAGAGGUUAAAAUAAUUCAGAAAUUUGAAAAUCAGGAAAAUAUUCUAAAAAAAAUUCAUAAAAGAAUUCAUAAAAUUUCCUUGAGUCCACGUGGACCUCCAGGCAGCGGUCACAUGGAGGGCCUUUAGUCCUGAUUCGUAUAAGAACCGGGACUAAAGGGGGGUCUUUAGUAACGACCCUUUAGUCCCGGUUCCAGAACUGGGACUAAAGGCCCUCACCAACCGGGACAAUAGGCCUUUUUUCUACUAGUGAAUCUUGGGUACACAGAAGAAUCGUUCGUCCUAGCCAAUGAUAUGGCGCAGGUUUUCUAUGUGAAGGACAUGUCCACCAAACCGAGAAAAAAAAGAUAAGGAAGCGAACACAUCAUACGAUGAGCCAAAGCGCCACAUAGUUCUUUCAGGAAAAAGAGAUAUCACGGGAGUGGAGGGCAAGACAUACAUAUCCAAAGAUUAUGAAAAGUUCCAUUAAAUUCCUCCCUUCAAAGUCAAGGCUGACCCAAGCACCCUGUUAAACGAUGAAGAUAAUCCAUGGUUACGGCGCAAUAAGCAAAGGACAAAAGCGAAGCAGAAGUGAAUACUUUCUCUCCACGACUAUUAUGAUGAUGCCUUUGAUCUAGAAUGUCACUGUAGUUACAUGUGAAGAAACGAAAUGCCUGUUGUAACAGACGAGUUUUCGUCCGAAACCCUGAUACCUCGAAACAAAUAGUCCUGUUGUACACAAAGUGCAUCCAGUUUUUGCCGUACCCAUCUCAACUUUUUAGCACAUGCUAUGUGGGUGAAAUGAUGAUGCCAUGCCAACUUUCAAUCUUUUCAGAGUUCAUUUGAAAUGCUUUUCAAUUUUAAGGUCAUUUAGCUCAAAGAAUGAACUAAUAUAAAAAAGAAUUAGCUGGAAAACUUUUAUGAAACUCUAACAGCAAAAAUAGUAAACUAAAAGAAUGAACUAGAAAACUUUAAUGAAACUCUAAUAGAAAAAAUAAUGAACUAAAAAACUUUAAUGAAACUCUAAUAGCUAAAGGAAUCAACCAAAAAGCUUUUAUGAACCUCUAGUAUUAUUGAAACUAAAAUUAUAUAAAAUUUAUGCAACUAAAAUUAUAUCAAAUUUAUGCAACUAAAAUUNNNNNNNNNNNNNNNNNNNNNNNNNNNNNNNNNNNNNNNNNNNNNNNNNNNNNNNNNNNNNNNNNNNNNNNNNNNNNNNNNNNNNNNNNNNNNNNNNNNNNNNNNNNNNNNNNNNNNNNNNNNNNNNNNNNNNNNNNNNNNNNNNNNNNNNNNNNNNNNNNNNNNNNNNNNNNNNNNNNNNNNNNNNNNNNNNNNNNNNNNNNNNNNNNNNNNNNNNNNNNNNNNNNNNNNNNNNNNNNNNNNNNNNNNNNNNNNNNNNNNNNNNNNNNNNNNNNNNNNNNNNNNNNNNNNNNNNNNNNNNNNNNNNNNNNNNNNNNNNNNNNNNNNNNNNNNNNNNNNNNNNNNNNNNNNNNNNNNNNNNNNNNNNNNNNNNNNNNNNNNNNNNNNNNNNNNNNNNNNNNNNNNNNNNNNNNNNNNNNNNNNNNNNNNNNNNNNNGAAAAAAAAAAGUAAAAAAGAAAACAAAAUAAAUAAAUAAAUAAAGUGCCACCUACUGGGCCACCACAGCCUGAAUACGACUAGAAACCCAACCAUGGGCCAGCAUGCAGGCCCAGUAGGCCCACAGACACAGCGUGACAGAGAUUAGACCCGAAAGCCUGCAGUUGAGAGGCGCAGGGUGGGCGCAGCAGCACUUAUAAACCACUCUCGAGCUCUCUCAACUAGCAAGGUGCGACUAAACUUUUGGCCGCGACGCGGGCAACGCGAGGCCUUUUGUCCCAGUUGGUGCCACCAACCGGGACCAAAGGCCUCUGCUUCCCACCCUUUGGGCUGCUGAAAAGAGACCUUUGGUCCCGGUUGUUGGCACCAACCGGGACUAAAGGGUGGCAUUAGUCCCGGUUGGUGGCACCAACCGGGACCAAAGCUCUGGCUAUAUAUACAUCACUUGUCAAAAUUUUCGUUCUGUUCCUCCCCCGACGAGGCCGACGACAUCUACAAUGCCAGGCUGCCCCAACGCCGCCCGCCGCCCCCGCCGUCGCCGUCGUCAUCGCCCGCGCCUAUCGUCGCCGCUGCCCCGGCCCUGCCCCGACGGGCACCGCCCCGGCCCGCCCCCAUUGUCGCCGUCGCCUUGCCCCGCCCCCUUCGUCACGGUCACCCCUUGCACCGAGCGUGCGCGCCCUGCCCCGUCGACGUCAUCGCCGCCGCCGUCCUCGCCGCCGACCCCGCGCCCCUGCCCCUCCUCACCUUGGUCCGGUCGGCGCCCUCCCUGUCCUUUUUUCAUAUAUAUGCUUAUUUUUUCAUAUAUAUGAUGAUAUAUAUGCUUGUAUCAUAAUUUUUUAUCUUCAUAUAUAUGAUGAUUGUUUUGUAGAAUAUGAUGUUUUUUUGUUCAUAGAUGAUCAUAUAUAUGAUGUAUGCAUGGAUGUGGAUGGAAUAUGAUGUUUUUUUGUUCAUAGAAUAUGAUGUUUUUUUAUUCAUAGUUUUUUUUGUUCAUGAGAGAGGCGGGGACGUCAAGGAAGUUUUACUGUUUAGGGUUAGGGUCGUCGAGGAAGAAGGAGAAUAAGGAAAAAUAAUAAAAGAGGAAGAAGGAAGAAGGAGAAGAAGAGGAGAAAAAAAAUAAGAAGAGGAAGUAGAAGAAAAAAAGGAGAAGAAGAAGGAAUAGAGGAGAAGANNNNNNNNNNNNNNNNNNNNNNNNNNNNNNNNNNNNNNNNNNNNNNNNNNNNNNNNNNNNNNNNNNNNNNNNNNNNNNNNNNNNNNNNNNNNNNNNNNNNNNNNNNNNNNNNNNNNNNNNNNNNNNNNNNNNNNNNNNNNNNNNNNNNNNNNNNNNNNNNNNNNNNNNNNNNNNNNNNNNNNNNNNNNNNNNNNNNNNNNNNNNNNNNNNNNNNNNNNNNNNNNNNNNNNNNNNNNNNNNNNNNNNNNNNNNNNNNNNNNNNNNNNNNNNNNNNNNNNNNNNNNNNNNNNNNNNNNNNNNNNNNNNNNNNNNNNNNNNNNNNNNNNNNNNNNNNNNNNNNNNNNNNNNNNNNNNNNNNNNNNNNNNNNNNNNNNNNNNNNNNNNNNNNNNNNNNNNNNNNNNNNNNNNNNNNNNNNNNNNNNNNNNNNNNNNNNNNNNNNNNNNNNNNNNNNNNNNNNNNNNNNNNNNNNNNNNNNNNNNNNNNNNNNNNNNNNNNNNNNNNNNNNNNNNNNNNNNNNNNNGUUCGAGGGUCAAGGGUUCGAGGGUCGUCGAGGGGCGGAGGGUUCGAGGGUUCUAGGGUCGAGGGUCGAGGGUUCGAGGGUUCUAAGGUCGAUGGUUUGAGGGUCGUCGAAAGGCAGAGGGUUCGAGGGUCGUCGAGGGGUCAAGGAUCGCCGAGGGGUCGAGAGGUUGCCUAGCGUCAAAGUAUUGAAGAAAGCCAUGGCUUCAUCAUUAGCCGUAAGUAACCGGGGCAUGAUGCUACGAAGUUCUCCAAAGUUAUUCUAGAACGGAGUCCCGGAUAGGAUAAUCCGCCUUUUGGUACAAAUUUCAGCAAAGGCCUUCCAAAUAGCGAUAUUCGGAAGGCUCUUGCUGUACUUUGUAUCAAAAAGCGAAUUAUCCUAUCUAGGAUUCCAUUCCAGAAUAACUUUGGAGAACUUCAUACCAUCAUGCGCCUGUUACUUUCGCCUAAUAAUGAAGACAUGGUUUUGUUGAAUCCUUUGACACUAGACCCUAGAAGCGCCACCGAGGCCAUCCAAAUUUACCAAGUUAAAAGAACGUUGUCGUCGAGGCCACUCCGAACCCUUGAAUCGUUGCUGAGGCCACCCCAAACCCUAGAGAAGCGUUGAGGCCACUAAUUAAUAUAAUUCCUCAUUGUGAUUAGCUAUAACUAGGUCUACGUUUGCCACUAAUAUAUCCAUAUGUCAUGUUUGUAUAAUAAUUGCCAUGUUGUAAUAUUUGCAGAAACUAUGGAGCACGGCCGAGACGAGGAAGAAGAACAGGUGUUGGGGGACAUAAUCACAGCCAGAGGUGAUGUCAUGUUGUAUCUCAACAAAACCGAUGGUCUGGAAGGAGAGGGUGAAGUAGGCUACGGUUAUCGAACAAUGGAGAAGGAAGGACAUGAUUAUGAUGCCUCCGGUGACCGAAUGCCGAUGCAAGAAGGAGAUCGUGAUGAUGGCUCCGGUGACCGAACAGAGUCCGGCCAGAUAUAUAUAUUAAUUAAGCAUAUGCUGACUAGCUAAUUGAUGCAUUCAUUGUUUUCGUAUCUACACAUAUUAACUCUCGUCUUUCUUCCUUUUUUCUAACCCUUCGGAUCGAGCACAACUUCGCAAAGAGACGAGGCCCGAAGAAAAAGUUGCGCUCGGAUGAAAGGUUCACGAUCACAACAAUCGCGCGUGAUGGCCAACCGAUUGAACCCCUCCGGACCAAGGAAGCAUUUUCUGCUCAGUGCGGGGUUCUUGUUACGGACAUGAUCCCGAUCAGCAUCGAGCUAUUGAAUCAGCCUAAGAAGGAAGAGCUUCAAGUUUCUUUUGUCAAAGAUAGACAGAAAGAGGAUCUUUGUAAAGCGCUAAAGGUAAAUUUCACCCUACUGGAAGAGGAGGAUCCGGAGAAUCCAGUUAUAGAGCCAUUGAUCAAGUCAUGUGCUCUCAAGAAGAUGGCAGAUCUAUUCAGGAGGUUGAAGAAUGAGCUGAAAGCAAAGUUUGUCAACAAAGAAAAAACACCAGAAUUCAUCGGCCGGUAUGAGAAGCUCAGAGAUCAAUGGGACGCAUUUGUGGCCAACAAGACAUCAGAGCGGAGUAAGAAGAUGUCAGCGACAAACAAGAUAAAUGCUGCGAAGAAGGAGCAUCACCAUCGCACGGGGUCAGGUGGCUACCUCAAAGCCUGGCCAUUGUGGGCCAAGGCUGAGAACGACCUGCUUGAUAAAGGGGUCGAACCAGAGACAUUGAACUGGCCAGACCGUUCAAGGACUUGGUUCUUCGGGGUUGGUGGAACCUUGGACCCUGCAACAGGGAAGUGCGUUUGGACGAGCGAGCAACUGCGAAUAGCCGUCACGAAGCUUCAGGACUAUAUCACCACACCGCAGGAAGGGACGUUCGUUCCAGACAGAUAGAAGGACGAGCUCACAAUGGCUCUCGGGAAUCCUGAGCACCCUGGACGGACACGAGGCACGCCAGGAUCCGUUCCGUGGAAGGCUGGGUUUCCAGACGCAUGCAGUUACAUAUGCCAAGAGAGGAGGAGGAAAGUGGAGCAGAGCAAACUGCAGGAGCUGCACGCAAGGGUACAGAAGCUAGAGGAAGAAGAAGUAAUUUGAAGCAAGCGACUUGCCGAAGCUAACCCCGAAGCUACCCCGCCAUCUCAGCGGAGAAGCAGCGUGGCUUCCACCAAGCUGCUUCAGCUGGAGCCUGUCUUCACGGCUCUUGCUAGCUACCCCGUGGAUGCUAUCACGGAGUCUCAACAUUGCCAAGUUAUGAUGCAAUGGCAAAACUACAAAGUCAAGGCGGUUGUCGGCUCCGUUCGACCUCCUGAACCCGGUGCAACUUUUCACUGCCGUCCAAUUCCAGAAGGAUAUGCUAGGGUGACGGUGGACGAAAUAAUGGAGGGAUUUGAGGAGCUCGUUCUUAACAACCCUACUGGUGAAGGGGAGACUCGGCUGGGUUCUGCUCUGAAGACUCCAUGCCUAUGGCGGAAGGAUCUCAUCAACCUUCCGAACUGGACGCCUUUUUCUCCUCCUCCUCCUCCGACGAGUCAGGGCACUCCUCCUCCUCCUCCGCCUGCUCCUCCGGCGAGUGAUCAGGGCACUCUGCCUCCUUCUCCGGCGCGUGGCGGCACUCCGCCUCCUUCUUCGCCUGUGCCGGCGCGCCCGACCAGCCAGCCUCCUCCUUCUCUGCCUCAUCAGCAAGGGCGGAAGAGAACCGCCGCCGCUCCGGCUGCUCCGGCGCAUCGUAGUCCUUCUCCUCCACCUCGUAAGCAAUGAAAGAAGACAGCCACAGCAGCUCGGCCUGCUCCGGCGUCUAGCAGUACAGCCAGAGGUGGGAGGCAGUACAGAUUCGGUCCAUCUCUCAAGACUCCAGAGAAGUUACCAUACGAGAUGACCGAACAGGAAAAUAUGGAGAUUUGUCAAGCCCAAGUGAAGGACUACUUCGAAACGCAAAGAGCUAAGAAACGUCCACCUCCGGAGGAGAAGAUAGAUCCGGUGAAAGCGAAGCGCACUUUGUAUGCCCUGCAGCGACCACCACCGUCUCCGCCAUAAACCAACUAUGAGCGCAUUACUGAAAGAACAUAUAAGGAAGCGAAGCGGUCGGGAAGUACUUGCAGUGACAAAAGGUUACAAGAACGAAGAAGCGGGAAAAAAAUUCCCAGCUCGGCAAACAAGCGAACCGAUCAUGCCCCCCGCUCAAGGUGUCUAGCGAUAUCGUCGCUAAUCAUCCAGGGAUCUUGCCCGGUAUCAAUCCUGCAGAUUACAUGCACGACGAUGAUGCACAUUUUGAUAAAAUCGAGGUGGACGAAUACCCGCAUAUACGAAUACCCGCAAGUAUACGAAACUGAAAGAUGUGCGUGGUCAAGACGGCUUAGAACGCUACAAAAUAUUGAAGCUACAUGCAUGUCCCUCGUGUAUUUACUUGAUUCCACGCGGUGAAGCAGAAUUAGACAGAUUUACUGUAUCGAAGCUAGAUUUGCAUAUUUCCAAGACAAUCAGGCUUUCAAAACAGCAAAAAAAAUCCAAUUUUUAUAUGGGUCUAAGAAACUAGAGCGGAGGGAUUAUGAUGCACGAUAAGCAUACACAUAUUUGGACGGCCUGUGAUAAAAUAAAAAGGCAUUGCUGAUUACAGACCGAUCAGUCUGAUUCAUUCAGUUGCGAAGCUGUUCUUCAAGGUUCUAUCAAUCAGGCUUGCUUCGGUGGUGCAGUCAAUCAUCUCGCCAGCUCAGACGGCUUUCUUGAAGAACAUAUGCUUGCACGACAGCUUUGUAUACGUUCAGAAUUGUGUCAAGAGCCUGCACCGCAGGAGAACACCGGCAGUUCUCUUAAGCUAGACAUCUCAAGAGCUUUUGACAAUGUCUCACGGGAAUAUCUCCUAGAACUGCUCGAAAGGCUAGGAUUUAGUGCACGCUGGCGGGACUGGAUCACGCUCCUCCUCGCUGCAUCAACCUCGGCCUUCCUCCUCAACGGAUCACCUGGCGCGCAAAUCCUGCAUCGGCGUGGACUGAGGCAAGGAGACCCGCUGUCUCCUCUCCUCUUCAUCAUCGCGAUCGACCUCAUCCAUCAUCUGCUACAGGCUGCUGAGGAGGCCCUCGAGAUCGUGCCAGUGCCUGGUCGUGAGGUCAAGCUCAGAGUGAGCUUAUACGCUGACGACGCCAUCAUCUUCGCAAAGCCUGACAAAGAGGAGAUAGAUACCUUGAUGCACAUCCUUCAGAGCUUCGGCGACGCCUCGGGCCUCCGGAUCAACCUGGCCAAAUCCACGGCCACGCCGAUCCACUACAACGACGUCGACCUAGGGCUAGUUCUUCAAAUGUUUGGCGGCCUGAUCGCUCAUUUCCCAAUUAGAUAUCUAGGUUUGCCCAUUACCACGGGUCGGCUACGUCUAGUUCACCUCCAGUUCAUCCUUGACCGCAUCAAGGCACGACUUGCAGGCUGGAAGGAACGAAUGCUGUCCAUGGCCGGCAGGUGAGUCCUUGUCCGCUGUGUUCUCUCGGCCCUACCUACCUUUUCCCUCAUAGCGCUGCGGGUGCCCAAGAAGCUUCUGAAGGAAAUUGACAAGCACAUGCGACAAUUUCUUUGGGGGAAGGACCAAGAACUCUCCGGUGGCAGCUGCAAGGUAAACUGUGAGCGGGUAUGCUCCCCGAUCGAGCAUGGCGGCCUUGGCGUGCUGGAUCUUCCCAAAUUCAGUCGUGCACUCCGGCUGAGAUGGCUCUGGCACAGUUGGAAGAAUCCCACCCGCCCUUGGAUUGGAAUGGAGCCGCCGUGCGAUGCCUCGGAUCAUGCUCUUUUCAACGCGGCAACGACUGUGGCAAUCGGCAACGGCGGCACGGCAAGCUUCUGGAGUUGCUCUUGGCUAGGGCCGGUGCCACUGAAGUUCUGCUUCCCGUCUCUCUUGAAGCACUCGAGCCGCAAGGGCAGAACGGUGGCACAGGCUAUCGCCGACGACCGCUGGGUCCUGGACCUUGCACACGGCAACAACAACGACCUUGUCAGCGAGGUUCUUGACCUGCACUGUCUCAUUCAGCGCCGCAACUUCCAGACUGAAGAUCAGGACCAGAUCCGAUGGAUCUUGGAGGGAUUAGGUCAGUAGAGUUCACGCUCGGCCUACGCCCUACAAUUCCUGGGCUCGACGGCGACCAUGUUCCAGGCCAUGAUCUGGAACGUCUGGGCUCCGGCGAAACUCAAAAUGUUUGCAUGGCUUCUCCACCUAAACCGAUUGUGGUGCAACGACCGACUCCAACGUAGGGGCUGGCCGAACUCCUACUUUUGCCAGCUAUGCCUCAGAAACCUGGAAACCUCAGCGCAUCUCUUCUGGAACUGCCCGCACGAAGACAGUAUGGUCUAGCUUUUCAUCUUGGCAGCACUGCCAGGGCCUCAACAAGGCAUGUCUGCCAAACGAUUGCAGCUCCCUGGAAUAGGUCGAAGCCAUGGUUUCAGCAACAGGGCCUGCACACGCGAAAGGAGUCAAGUCUCUGAUCAUGCUGGUGCUUUGGAAAAUCUGGCAGGAACGUAACAGCCGCGUCUUCAGAAAGCAAGAGGCUACGGUGCAAGCUGUGAUCGCUGGCAUCAAGAGAGAACUCUCGCUCUGGCAACAGGGCGGUUUCAAAUCCAUUCUGAGCCCCUUCGGGGAUCCUCCAUGAGAUAGUAGCCGUAUAUCCGGGUGCUUCAGGCACCAAGGCUUUUUCUUCUUCUUUUUGUUUACCUCCUUGAUCCACGGAUCACCGCCUUUGUCACUUUUUCAUCUGCUCCCUGCUUAAUCAAUGAAACCCCAGCCUUUCGCUGGCUCGUUCAAAAAAAAAAGAUAAAAUAAAACGGGAAAAUUUUGUAGCAGCACGUCCUUUUCUAUUUUUUUCCAUAAAUAUUUGUCGCGCAAGCUCAUGCUAUGACAAAUUUUAUUACACAACAUGCUAUGACACAUAAUGACUUCAUUUGGUCAAACUUCUUUUUUUGAGAAAACUUUCAAUCUAUUUAUCUUUAAUCAUGACAAUACAACGAACACCAGAAAUAAUAAAAAUUACAUCCGGGUCCAUAGAUCACCUAUCGACGACUACAAACAUUGAAGUGAGCCGAGGGCGCGCCACCGUCAUCGCCUCUCCUUCGCCGGAGCCGGGAAAAACUUGUUGUAGUAGACAGUCGGAAAGUCGUCGUGCAAAGGACCCAUAGGACCAGCGCAGCAUAACAGCAACUGCCGCCGAUGAAGAGUAGCGUAGAUCGAAAAUAUCCAACCUGAAGAAACACAAACAUAGACGAACUAUGACCAGAUCCGAGCAAAUCCACCAAAGAUAGACACACCACCGGAACGGGGGCUAGGUGGGAAGAACCUUAUUCCAGCUUCAGGAAGCCUCCACCGUCUCUUGUCUUCCUAAGCAGAACACAAACCCUAACAAAAGUUGAAAAACAUCUAAAAACGAAGCUCUCCCGCCGGCAAGGGCCGGGAUCCACGGCGCGUCCAUGGCCCUAAGGCCACAGGAGACGAGGCGAACCGGCGGUGGCGCCGGCGGGAGGCAAAGGAACCCUCAACUUCGACCUGGCCGUUUUCCUAAACCUGACCUUGUUCAAUACUCCCUCCGUUCUAUAAUUCAAACUAUAACCACGAAAAAAGUUAUGGAAUAGAGGGAAUAGAUGUGACGUAGGACGUACAUCUUCUGCGGUGGUGCAUCCCAAUGUCAAUUACUCCCUCCGUCUACUCGCUCUCAAAAAAAAGAAAACUACUUACAUGUUUUGCUGACUUGACAUAGCAUCAAAUAAAAUUGAGAGAGAAACAUAAGAGUACGAUGUCGUGAGUCGUCCAUAAACAACCUGGGUCAAGGCCGUAUAUCAACAUUUGUCCUUUCUUUUCUUCUUACAUUUCUCAUAAAAACUGCCACGUACUCCAUGCUAUCUAAACCAGCCACCAUCCCCAACGGAGAAAGAAAUUAGAGGCAACCAGAACAAUUAACCAUUAGCUUUCUUUUUAGAACAACCUUAGCUAGGCAUAUUGGUCCGGAAGGAGAAACCAAGCAGUCACACUAACAAGGAAACAUAGAAAUCAUAACAUAAUGUAUUCGUAGAUAGCGAUUACAUGUUAGUAGAUUGUUCCACUAACUACUUAGUACUUCCACUAGAAUCAUGAAACCCUUUAUUAGGAGGCGCCUAGUGAAAACCCUAUGAAUGAAAAGAAACACAAAUGACGUGGAAUAGUAAAAUGUGUGAUGGGCUCUGAUUCUAUCUUGUUCGAAAAGGAAAUUUAGGGGUAUCCGGCACUGCCGGAUCCGGAUCCGCUACCUCCACCAUUGCCGAACCCACCAUUGUUGCUGCCACCGCCGCCGCCACCCGUUCCAGCACCGGUUCCGGUGGCAUAGCCUUGACCAUAGGAACCAGUGCUACCAGUCUGUCCGCCUCCAAUGCCAGAGCCAGAACCAACUCCCAUGCUUGGACCUUGAGCUACGCCUCCACUUUGGCCACCUCCGCUGCCGUUGCCACUUCCACUAGCAUUGCCUCCAGUAGUGUCAUCGCUGGCGGCUUGCCCACCUCCAGCACCAUUACCACCUCCAUUUCCACCGUCACCGCCACCACCGCCAGUGCCAGCACCGCCAGCAUCAGAGUAGCUAACACCACCAGCAGAAGGAGCUACAGCCGGGGCAGUUGCUAUGCCACUCUCAGCUUCUCCUUUGCCAACACCACUUCCGGCUCCAGAUCCGCUUGACCCAUCUGCACCACCACCUGCACCACCGCCCCCACCCUGACCAUCAGCGUUGGCGUACCCACUGCCACUAGGUGCUGACACCGAGCCACUCGAACCAACACCGUUGCCACCGCCAGAGCCGGAACCGGAUCCGGACCCGCCUUGGGAACCACCGCCAGCACCGUUUCCCCCUCCCCCACCAGCUCCCUUGGCAAAGUUAUACUUGUUACUGGCAUCUCCACCAUUCUCGCCAUAUCCCAAGCCACCACCUCCUCCGGCCCCAUGGCCCCAUCCACUCCCACCCCCACCCGACGAGCUGCCACCGCCUCCUCCUCCCCCGCCUCCGCCUCCAGCACUGGAGGAGCUAGCCAGCAUCCUCGAAGCAUUGGUGAACCCAAUGCUCACGAGGACAACAAAGCCAAGAGCUACAAGCUUGGUGCUAGUAGCCAUUUUGACUGAGAGCUCGGUGGAGUGUGAGAUGAGUUGGGUGUUGAAAGAAGAGAGGGUUUCGUGGGUAUAUAUAGUAGUGGAAGCCGUGCAUGCGUGAUUGAUGCUGAGUGUUGGAUCUUACACGCAGAAGGCGCGCACGGUAGCAUAGAUGCACGCCGUUGACUGCACUGAAUGCAUCGAUCAAGCAAAUCUCUUCAUCUCUUUCUUUAAUCUCUAAUUAAUUGAUGAGAACUGGUCAGCUGUAGAAGGGACUGACUGCCCUGCCACUGCAUUCAUCGAUCAUGCAAAUCUGUUCAUAUCUUUCUUUAAUCGGUAAUUAAUUGAUGAGAACUGGUCAGCUGUAGUAGGGUCAGAUACGUAUACUGACGCUUGAUUGAGAUUUCAUCUCAUGACAGACAGAUUAACUACUGUAAUUGUGAACCUAACUGUGAAUGGAUAGUUAGACAGUGGUACCCCAGUCCACCAUGGUUCAAGUCCUAGUGCUUGCAUUAUUUCGGAUUUGUUUCAGGAUUUCGGCGAUGCGUGCUCAAUGAAAGGAGACGUUCCCGUUGACUAAGAGGCGCCUUUGAUGAUUUCGUGAAUCUCAAGAUGAUAUGCCGAUGUAGGGCAAAUAAGCCAUGGCGAGCUCAGGGUGCGGUGUGCGCGUGUGUGGGCGCGGUGGUUGCGUCGGGUUCAACCCGUGGCAGGGCUCGGGUGCCUGCGUGCAUGGCAGAGCGUAGGUGUGUGUGUGUGUGCGUGAGCUAGCGCGUGGGUACGCGGGGCCACAUGGGUUAGUUAGCGAGGGUCUAGGGGUGUAGACCGCGUCUGGUGCGCGAAGAGGCCGCGGCGAUCGUGUACGUGCGCCAUGCACGGGCGCGAGCCGGAGCGCGUGGGGCGUGGGUGAGUGGGAGCGCGAGUGCUUGUGGGCGAGUCCUGGCAUGUCAGUGCUCGCGGGGAUAAAACCCACUCUCCCCUGUGUAGCUCGUUGAGAUGAUCGAGUUCGUGCUUGAGGAAGAAAUCGGCCGUUCGUGCGGCGGGCGUUCGAGCGUCGGAAAAACCUCCCGCGUCCCCUUUUUCCUUCUUCCUCCUCGUUCUUCUUCUUGGUUCGAGCCAGAGAGUGAGAGAGAGGAGAGCUAGGUCUAGCUAGGGUUCGGGUGCGGCAACAACAAUUUGCAUCAGAACUUGGUGAAGGAGCCCGCCGGCGGCAAUGGCGAUCGUGCCACACGGCGGAGACGCGAGCGGAUCGGUGUCGAUGGCGAUGCCAAUGCUCUCGCCGGACAACUACACGGUGUGGGCGAUCAAGGCGCAGGCGAUCCUGGAUGCCAACGUGCUGUGGGAGGCAGUGGCGCCGGCAGGCGACGCGGCGGUGAACGCCAAGAAGUGCAAGACGGCGCACGCGAUGAUCCUGUCAGGGCUGCCGAAGGACGUGCUGCUGCAGGUGGCGGCGAAGCUCACCGCCAGAGAGGUAUGGGACUCUCUGAAGAUGAGGUUCAUCGGCGCCGAUCGGGUGUGCGCGGCGAGGCGGGCGAGGCUGCGGGAAGCUCGAUCGCCUGAAGAUGGCGGACGGCGAGGCGCUGGACGUGUACGCCGGGAGGCUGGCGGGAAUGACGGUGCGGUUCGCGAACCACGAGGAGACACUGGGCGACACGGAGCUCGUGAAGAAGCUCCUGGACACGGUGCCCGAUCGACUGUUCCCCAUCGUUGCCGGCAUCAAGCAAUUCCGCAACCUCGACGAGAUGACGUUCGACGAGGCGCUCGGGCGGCUGCACGCGUUCGACGAGCGAGUCCGGCGUCGUGGACAAGACGGCGGCGAGCGUGGAGGCGAUCAGCUGCUGCUGACCAUGGCACAGUUGCGGGCGCGGGAGCGGCAGCAGGGAGGAGCUCGCGAUGACAUUGACGACGGGCGCUGCUACAAGUGCGGCGAGCGCGGACACUUCAAGCGCGAAUGCCCCAGCUGCGGAGGGAGCCGGCGGCGGAGCGCGAGCUGAUGGAUGACGCUGCCGUUGAAGACGGCGGACUCCUCUCAGCCAUGGCUUAGGGGGGAGGCAAAUAAGCCAUAGCGAGCUCAGGACGCGGCGCGCGUGUGUGGGCGCGGUGGUCGCGUUGGGUUUGACCCGUGGCAGGGCUCGGAUGCGUGCGUGCGUGCACGGGCGUAGGCGUGUGUGUGUGUGUGUGUGUGUGUGUGCGCGCGCGUGCGUGAGCUAGCAUGUGUGUGCGCGGGGCCACACGGGUUAGUUAGCGAGGGUCUAGGGGUGUAGACCGUGUCGGGCGCAAGCCGGUGCGCGCGGGGCGUGGGCGAGUGGGAGCGCGAUUACGUGUGGGUGAGUCCUGGCAUGUCAAUGCUCAUGGGUAUAAAACCCACUCUCCCCUGUGUAGCUCGCUGAGGUGAUCAAGGUCGUGCUCGAGGAAGAAAUCGGUCGUUCGUGCGGCGGGCGUUCAAGCGCCGGAAAAACCUCCCGCGUCCAUUGUUUCCUUCUUGCUCCUCGUUCUUCUUCUUGGUUCGAGCCAAAGAGUGAGAGAGAGGAGAGCUAGGGCUAGCUAGGGUUCGGGCGCGGCAACAACAGCCGACGAAGUCUCUCAAAGAUGCUCACAUGGCUAGGAUGUGCGUGUGUGUUCAGAAGUGUGAGUGUACCGAUGUAUGUAUGAGUGCUGCGUGACCUGCCUUUACUCGAUAUGCACCCAUGAACUGGAAGCCGUGGAUCACACCACGUGUUAUAAAAAAAACUACUGUAAUUAUUUUCUCUCCACCACAUGAAAGAACGUGACCUGCCUUUACUCGAUACGCACGCAUGAACUCGAAGCCGUGGAUCACAGGAAAUCCUUUGACAUUGCACUUCAUGAAUGCCACUUGACAUUAUCAACCAUGAACACCGCGGAUAUUUAUAGAGAAAAAGAAGAUACGUACAGUAAGUACACUUACCUUGCGUAAGGCAUGCAUGUUUUACUGUUAAUUACCAACAGAAAAUGAUGUAUGUUUUUGCUUAACUAGUGACUUCCCUAACCGUAAGAUGCAUGCAUUACAUUAACACUAGUACUCCUAGACCCACAUGAGCUUGGUAUGCGGGAUGGCGGGUGCGCCACGCCGACAACUGGGCGGAGACGCCCUUGUCUGGGUCCUUGACACCGCGGGCAACUCCGGGGAAAACCCUAGAUCUCAUUGUGAUCGAGCGAUGGUGGUGCUUUAGCGUCGUAGUCCCUCUUAAGGGCAUCGAUUUUGGAGUUUGCUCAGAUUCAAGGGACCAGCGACGCUGGCGGUGCACGGCCUGGUGGCGCGACCGCCGAUCAAAAUCGCGCCGACUUCAGUCAUGACGGAUGAUGGCGGCGUCUCCGAUGUCGUUUUCUUGUUGAGGCAUCGUCGUUGCAGUUUGCAUCAUCAUGCUCGGGAUGCUCGGGGGGAAAUUCUAGAUCUGGGCCUCCCGGAUCGGACGAUGACGGCGCCUUUGGCGUAGUUCUCCCUCCUAGGGGCAUCGUUUUGGAACAAGUGUUGGUUGGAGGGGACUACUGGAGGAGCGGUGUUACAUCUACCGCAAGGCCGACGGCAUGGCGCCGCGGAGGUUCGGCGAUGGGCGCAUAUUGGAGAUGGACUCGCGCAGGAGGAGGAAGCUGUCUGGCAUCAUGGUGGCGUUGAUGGCAGAGAGGCUUGGCAAGGUCGGUGCAUCAGUUCUGCUCUGAGGAUGAACCGAGGGAAGAUGGAGGUGACGGCCCUUGCAGCGUGCGGUGCUCACUUGGAGUGUUUCAGACCUGUGUGGGACUCAAUCCAGAUAGUGGCUUGGAUGGGACACCCGGCUUUAGAUGUUACGCUUUGGUGCGAUGUCUGUUUGAUAUUAGGCCCGGACAUUCGGCACGCCUUCAUUAAGGGGAUAGGAGUAGCAACAACGUUGUCAAGAUGGUGGCUUCUCGCUUAUUGAUGUAUCAUCUUGGGUCUUUGUGAAUAAUUAAUAAUAUGGCUACAUGCAUCGUCCAUAUGCAGAGGCCGGGGUACAUCCUCCUUUUCUAAAAAAACAUGAGCUUGGUAUGCGGAAGAUGGAGCCGAGCUCUGACUGGCCGUCUGACGUCGUUCUUCAUGGCUGGUUGUCGUUGAUGCAGUUUGAGAAAGGCUCCAGCUAGCCCCUAGCUAUAGCAAAUGGUAGACGACGAAGGAGAGUGUUGACCUAGAUUAAUUGCAUACUACUCCUAGGGUUUGUAAUGUCGAUGUAUCAAGCCGACGUGUGUGUUAUUUUCUACUCCCUCCUUCCCGUAUUGACACUACACUAGUGUCAAAAAGGUUUUAUAUUAUGAAAAGGAGAGAGUAAUUUUUAAUGAUGGCCUUGUAAGGGUUGGAUGACUAACCUUCCUAGAGAAGGCACAUGUCCAAGACUCCCGUGUCGUCAGACCUAGGGCGACUCGGGAGGAUCCAGCCGCCGCUGCCAUCACUCAGUUCCAUCUUCCUGUCCCUGCAUGCCGCCGCCAUGGGUGGCCUCAGCCGCGGCGGCGACGAAUCUUGCGGUCGCAUGUAACCUUUGGUCUGCAUCUAGGUGGAGGAGUUCUGGGACGACACCCGGAUCAUAGGUCGACCGAUGCUGCGGGUUGAGGCUUCUGAUUCGGCUGGUGAUGGGCCUCAGCAGCCCGGAGCUGCUCGUGCGCCAAAACCCUAGGAUUCUGACUCCCUGCAGGUUUCCACCAUGCCGGCCCUAGUGUCUCCUGAAGCCAGCUGCUUCACUCCACGCGCCCUCCCACAAUCCCUCAAGGACACCGCGACCUAUCGCAUCAAGAACAUCUCCCUGGCCCACGUCUGGAUUCACACGCGUUGCCUUCUGUUUUGCGUCGUGUAAAACAGUUUGUGGGUAGAACGAAAGCAGUAGCGCCUAAACCUGCUGUGAGGUGUGUGGGGUGCUCGCUACCAUGGCUACUGGUGCGUCCCUGAUUUCCAUGGCGGUUCCGUGUGUGGGCCGGUCUCCGGCCAGAUAUGGCCGGAUUUCGCCACCGGGGGCCAUCGUGCGGUGGGCUCUGUGCUGGAUCUAGACGGCGGCAAUGAGGUGCCAUUCCGCACAUGCGCUGGCCAGCCGACAGCGCUAUCACUACUAGGGAAAAGCCUAGCAAUAGGAAGGGUCUAAGGGCUAUAAGUACGCGGGUAACCGCGCUACUGAUACGGCGCUACAACUAACAUUUAGCAGUAGUGCGUUUUGACACGCACUACCGCUAUAUCUACUUAGCAGUAGCGCUUUUCCAUACCAGCGCUACUACUAAGUGCCUUAGCAGUAGCAUUUUCCUGUCCAGCACUAAAGAGCGCUACUACUAUAUUUUCACAUAUCUUUUUUUGCUACGUAUUUGCGAUGUUUUUGUAUAGGUUUUAUACAGUAUUCUAAUCAUAUCAUAAACAUACAAUAUGCUCAUCAUAUCAUACACAUAAUAGUCUCAUUAUAUCAUCCAACACAAAUCAUAUUGUCACAUCAUAAUCACGAUAUAGCUAUACAAGUUACAUGACAUGUAUCAUCAUACAUAAUGUAGUACUUCUUGAGGUGCCGGUUCGUAUCGCUCUCUCGCACUAGCGUGAAGCUAAACUAACUAUUUUCCGCUUCGGCUCUGCUAUCAAACCCUCUCUGGCUAUCACUCGGAAACCGGUACACCUGGGCCUGACACUCCGGCCACUCGUCGUAUACUCCUGGCGUAGCACUUCUUCGCCAUCGAUGAUCUAUGUACCUGCAACGUGACAUGAUUCGAUAAUAUGCAACAAAUAUAGUUGAGCAAAAUAAACAGAUAGAGUUGGCAAAAAUAGAAGCAACAUAUUAUAAGCAUAAAUAACAAAGUUCAUCGUACCCAAAAUGCCCUAACUAGAGUGAUCUUCACUAGUUGAGGAGGAUGGUUUAAUUACAUCACAAAUAAUUAAAGUUUCGUCGUGCAUAACUCAAAGUUUCGUCAUAGAGAAAGUAUGGACUAAACGAACACAUUGUCAUAUAUCGUCAAUCACUCCAACAUGUCGUGCCAUCAUCCAAGUCAGGGAGAUAGUCCCUGAGCAUAGUGAAAGGCUUCAGGUCGAGACGCUGAGCUGCUACGCGUGUUCGGACGUCUUCACGUGAUAUUUGCCCUUCUAUGUAGAACAUCCCUGUUUUUUCGAGGACCUCCUUCGUGAUGAUUUGGGCAAGUUCACGCUAGAUGUGAUACAACUCAGCUCGGAGUCAAUGAUCCGGGAUAUCUCCUAGUUUUUUUGCCCAUUGUAGAAUAUUGGCAUCACCGGAUCUAGGGACAUGCGAAGGUUCUGCUGAUCCCGUCUGUAUUCCAGCAUGUGGUGGAGGACAUAGAAUCCAUCAUUGAGAGUACCACUCGGUUGCUGGAUGCAGCAAAAGUCGGUCUUAUGGCCGAAGGCGUGCGCGCGGUUCCUUGUCUUCUUGAGCGUGAUCUCUCCACCCCGUAGGCCAUUGCUAAAGAUAGCACUGUCGAGAACAGACUUGAUGUGGGUGUAAUCCUUCUUCUUCAUGUUCUUCGACGAGUCCAGGUAAAGAGCGUGGGAGAAUCGGGGGUAAAGGAUGAUGAGGACGGCGCACCCGUCGCUGCGCAAAAUAAGUACACCUCAAAUUAGCCUCCACGCAUGCAAAUGAAUGAUUGAAAUCGAAGGAUAUCUGCGGAUGACUUACAUGGGAUGAUAAGGCAUGAGAAUCGUCUCCUUGUCCUUAUUGCCGACCAUGAAAUCGGCGAUGUAGUUCCUCGCAUAUUCACGGUGCUUUGGGGGGACUGCCAAGAAGCCCUCGUGCAUGAACUACAGGUCAGCGACACAUAUAUAAUGUAUCUGCUAAAUCUUGAUGAUGUAGUUCAUGUACAAGGCAAAAAGGUGGAAAAACGUAAAAUUCAUCUUUUUCAAGUGAAACAUGUCGAAGAUGUAAUCGAAUCGAAGGAAGAACUUUUCCGCGGGGAAUGUGUCAACGUACAACCUUUGUUGCGGCACGUUAACUGACACGUUUCCAAUGUAUCUAUAAUUUUUUAUUGCUCCAUGCUACUUUAUCUAUUGUUUUGGACUAUAUUGGGCUUUAUUUUCCACUUUUAUAUUAUUUUUGGGACUAACCUAUUAACCGGAGGUCCAGCCCAGAAUUGUUGUUUUUUUGCCUAUUUCAGUAUUUCAAAGAAAUGGAAUAUCAAACGGAGUCCAAACGGAAUGAAACCUUCGAGAACGUGGUUUUCUCACAGAACGUGAUCCAGGAGACUUGGACCCUGCUCCAAGGAACAAAAGAGGCGGUCACGAGGGUGGAGGGCGCGCCCCCUCGGCGCGCCCCCUACCUCGUGGGCCCCCUACUGCUCCACCGACGUACUCCUUCCUCCUAUAUAUACCUACAUAUCCCCAAACAAUCAGAAUAGGAGCCAAAAACCUAAUUCCACCGCCGCAACCUUCUGUAUCCACAAGAUCCCAUCUUGGGGCCUAUUCCGGAGCUCCGCCGGAGGGGGCAUCCACCAUGGAGGGCUUCUACAUCAACACCAUAGCCCCUCCGAUGAAGUGUGAGUAGUUUACUUCAGACCUUCGGGUCCAUAGCUAGUAGCUAGAUGACUUCUUCUCUCUUUUUGGAUCCCAAUACAAUGUUCUCCCCCUCUCUCGUGGAGAUCUAUUCGAUGUAGUCUUCUUUUUGCGGUGUGUUUGUUGAGACCGAUGAAUUGUGGGUUUAUUAUCCUGUAUUAUCUAUGGAAAAUAUUUGAAUCUUCUCUGAAUUCUUUUAUGUAUGAUUGAGUUAUCUUUGCAAGUCUCUUCAAAUUAUCUUUGUUGGUUUGCCCAACUAGAUUGGUAGUUCUAGCAAUGGGAGAAGUGCUUAGCUUUGGGUUCAAUCUUGCGGUGUCCUUUUCCAGUGACAGCAGGGGCAGCAAGGCACGUAUUGUAUUGUUGUCAUCGAGGAUAACAAGAUAGGUUUUUUAUCAUAUUGCAUGAAUUUAUCCCUCUACAUCAUGUCAUUUUGCUUAAGGCAUUACUCUGUUUUUAACUUAAUACUCUAGAUGCAUGCUGGAUAGCGGUCGAUGAGUGGAGUAAUAGUAGUAGAUGCAGAAUCGUUUCGAUCUACUUGUCUUGGACGUGAUGCCUAUAUACAUGAUCAUUGCCUAGAUAUACUCAUAACUAUGCUCAAUUCUGUCAAUUGCUCAACAGUAAUUUGUUCACCCACCGUAGAAUAUCUAUGCUCUUGAGAGAAGCCACUAGUGAAACAUAUGGCCCCCGGGUCUAUUCUCAUCAUAUCAAUCUCUAUCACUUUAUUACUUGCUUUGCUUUUACUUUGCCUUUUACUUUUUACUUUGCAUCUAUCUAUCAAAAAUACCAAAAAUAUUAUUUAUCAUCUUUAUCAGAUCUCACUCUCGUAAGUGACCGUGAAGGGAUUGACAACCCCUAAUCGCGUUGGUUGCGAGUAGCUAUCGUUUUGUGUAGGUACGAGGGACUUGUGCGUGGUCUCCUACUGGAUUGAUAUCUUGGUUUUCAAAAACUGAGGGAAAUACUUACGCUACUUUGCUGCAUCAUCCUCUCCUCUUCGGGGAAAUCUAACGCAGUGCUCAAGAGGUAGCAAGAAGAAUUUCUGGCGCCGUUGCCGGGGAGGCUCACGCAAGCAAGUCAACUAUACCAAGUACGCAUCGCAAUCCCUAUCUCUCGCAUUACAUUAUUUGCCAUUUGCCUCUCGUUUUCCUCUUCCCCACUUCACCCUUGCCGUUUUAUUCGCCCUCUCUUUCCCAAUCUCCUCCUCUCUUUCCCGUUAGCCUUCUUCCUGUUUGUUUGUUUGCUCAUGUGUUAGUUUGCUUGCUUGUCGUUAUGUCUGAAAUUGGGAAAUUGUUGCCGACAUGGGCGAUAAUAAUAUCAUGGAAAAUUCUGAAGCUCCUGCUGAAGAAUCCCCUACCUAUCAUACAAAAAGAUUUCGAAUCGGUAGUGGUAAUAUUAUUGGAAAAUGAGUUAUUCAAGAUUUCUUUACUUAGCUUGUGCGGGUGCUUUGCCCUCUAUAGGCAGUUCUAUUCUUCAUAGAACUAGUAGUCUUGCUGAUGCCAUUGCCAUGCUUAUCGUUGAACUUGAAAGGCAAUUUAUGCAUAUGCAUCCUUCUAAACAAAGGAUUUUCCUAGAAUUUUCUAAUAUCGAACACUCUUCUGUUAAGCGUGCCACUACUAUCUUUUUGGCUCAUGAAUUCAGAUUUAUAAUAAAAGUGGCCAAAGAAAUCUUUGCGCAUUGUAGGGUGGACGCCGGCCGUCCUCCCAUAGAAUCUGUGCUCUUUGAUCAAGAAGAAAUUAUGCGUUUUCAAUCUCUUGACUAUGUUCCUUUUAAUGAAAACCUUAGAAAAAAGGUGCCAACCAAUAUUUUAAUUGAUAGAAUCUCUGAACUUAAUGAUGAUUUGGCUAUUCGAAAUAAUGAGUUAGGAUACUCUCUCGAGUGUAGACUCAGAAGAUUUUGUCAAAAGAACGCUUAUAAUGAUGAAUUGGUUGUGCAUUAUGAAGGGACAAAGGAGGAACCUAUACCUCCUAAAAUUGAUCUUGGGGAUUUUUGCCCUAUUAAAUUUAGCCCUUUUGAUUACUUUUGCUUACCUCAAAGAAAACUUGCUGCCGAACAUAGAGAAUAUGAAAUGAGUUUCACCGAUCUAUCCUAUUACUACGGCACUACCUAGAUCUAUCCUUACUUUUAUGCCUAGCUAGGGGCAUUAAACGAUAGCGCUUGUUGGGAGGCAACCCAAUUUUAUUUUGUGUUUUUUGAUUCUGCUUCUGUUUAGGAAUAAAUAAUCCAUCUAGCCUCUGUUUGGAUGUGGUUUUAUGUUUUAAUUAGUGUUUGUGCCAAGUAGAACCUAGAGGAUAACCUACGAUGAUAGUUGAUUUGAUUCUGUUGAAAAACAGAAACUUUGCACACACAAAUAUAAUUUUGUUAAAUCACAGGAACGUGCUUUUGCGUUGAUUCUUUUUGAUGUUGUUCAAUAAACAAAUUGUCCAGGACUUCCUAUUUUGGUAGAAUUUUUAGAGUUCCAGAAGUUUGCAUUAGUCACAGAUUGCUACAGACUGUUCUGUUUUUGACAGAUUCUGUUUUGCAUGUGUUGUUUGCUUAUUUUGAAGAAUCUAUGGCUAAUAACAUAGUUUAUAAUCCAUAGAGAAGUUGGAAUACAGUAGGUUUAACACCAAUAUAAAUAAAGAAUGAGUUCAUUACAGUACCCUUAAGUAGUUCUUUGUUUUCUUUCUCUAACGGAGCUCACGAGAUUUCUGUUGAGUUUUGUGUUGUGAAGUUUUCAAGUUUUGGGUGAAUUCUUUUGAUGGAUUAUGGAACAAGGAGUGGCAAGAGCCUAAGCUUGGGGAUGCCCAUGGCACUCCCAAGAUAAUCCAAGGACACCAAAAAGUCAAAGCUUGGGUAUGCCCCAGAAGGCAUCCCCUCUUUCGUCCACUUCCAUCGGUAAUUUACUUGGAGCUAUAUUUUUAUUCACCACAUGAUAUGUGUUUUUCUUGAAGCGUCUUGUAUUAUUUGUGUCUUUGCUUGUUAGUUUACCACAAUCAUCCUUGCUGUACACACCUUUUUGAGAGAGCCAUGCAUGAAUUGGAAUUUGUUAGAAUACUCUAUGUGCUUUACUUAUAUCUUUUGAGCUUGAUAGUUUUGCUCAUAGUGCUUCACUUAUAUCUUUUGAGCGUGAUAAUUUUUGCUUUAGUACUUCACUUAGAUUUUUUAGAGCACGGUGGUAGAUUUGUUUUAAAUAAACUAUUGAUCUCUCAUUCUUCACUUAGAUUAUUUUGAGAGUCAUUAAUAGCAUGGUAGUUUGCUUAAUGUUAAUAUACUUAGUGUUCAAGAUAUGUGAAACUUUCUUUUGAGUGAAUUGAAUACUAAGAUAAGUUUGAUGCUUGCUAAUUGUUUUGAGAUAUGGAGGUGAUAAUAUCAAAGUCGUGCUUGUUGGGUAAUUGUGAAUUUGAGAAAUGCUUGUGUUGAAGUUUGCAAGUCCCGUAGCAUGCACGUAUGGUUAAAGUUGUGUAACAAAUUUGAAACAUGAAGUGUACCUGGCUUGUGCAUCCUUAUGAGUGGCGGUCGGGGACGAGCGAUGGUUUUUUCCUACCAAUCUAUCCCCCUAGGAGCAUGCACGUAGUACUUGAUUUUUGAUGGCUUCUAAAUUUUUGCAAUAAGUAUAUGAGUUCUUUUGACUAAUGUUGAGUCCAUAGAUUAUACGCACUCUCACCUUUCCGCCUUUGCUAGCCUCUUCGGUACCAUGCAUUGCCCUUUCUCACCUUGAGAGUUGGUGCAAACUUCGCCGGUGCAUCCAAACCCCGUGAUACGAUACACUCUAUCACACAUAAACCUCCUGAUAUCUCCCUCAAAACAGCCACCAUAUCUACCUAUUAUGGCAUUUCCAUAGGCAUUCCGAGAUAUAUUGCCAUGCAACUUCCAUCAUCUUCAUCAUGACAUACAUUACUUUUGUCAUAUUACCAUUGCAUGAUCAUGUAGUUAACAUCGUAUUUGUGGCAAGGCCACCAUGCAUUAUUUUUCAUACAUGUCACUCUUGAUUUAUUGCACCAUCCCGGUACACCGCCGGAGGCAUUCAUAUAGAGUCAUCUCUUGUUCUAAAGUUUCGAGUUGUAAUCCUUAUGUUGUAAUCAAUGGAAGUGUGAUGAUCAUCAUUGUCAGAGCAUUGCCCAAAAAGAAAAAAAAAAGAAAAAAAGAGAAAUGCCAAAAGAAAAAAAAGAAAGGCCCAAAAAAAAGAAAAAAAGAAAAAAAAGAAAAAAAAGAAAAGAAAAAAAGGGGCAAUGCUACUAUCUCUUUUUCCACACUUGUGCUUCAAAGUAGCACCUUAUUCCUCAUGUAGUGAGUCUCAUAUAUUGUGCUUCAAAGUAGCACCUUGUUCUUCAUGUAGUGAGUCUCAUAAAGUUGUCCUUUUUAUACUAGUGGGAAUUUUUCGUUAUAGAACUUGGCUUGUAUAUUCCUACAAUGGGCUUCCUCAAAUGCCCUAGGUCUUCAUGAGCAAGCGAGUUGGAUGCACACCCACUAGUUUUCUUUUGUUAAGCAUUCAUAGCUCUAGUGCAUCCGUUGCAUGGCAAUCCCUACUCCUCAUGUUGACAUCAAUUGAUGGGCAUCUCCAUAGCCCGUUGAUUAUCCUCAUCAAUGUGAGACUUUCUCCUUUUUUGUCUUCUCCACACAAUCCCUAUCAUCAUAUUCUAUUCCACCCAUAGUGCUAUAUCCAUGGCUCGCGCUCAUGUAUUGCGUGAAGGUUGAAAAAGUUUGAGAUUAUUUAAGUAUGAAACAAUUGCUUGGCUUGUCAUCAGGGUUAUAGAAGUUGGGAAAAUCUUUGUGUGAUGAAAAUGAAGCAUAGCCUAACUAUAUGAUUUUGUAGGGAUGAAGUUUCUUUUGCCAUGCUAUUUUGAGAAGACAUGAUUGCUUUGAUUAGUAUGCUUGAAGUAUUAUUAUUUUGUGUCAAUAUGAACUUUUGUCUUGAAUCUUUCGGAUCUGAAUAUUCAUAUCACAAUUGGAAGAUUUAUAUUGAAAUUAUGCCAAAGUAUCACUCCGCAUCAAAAAAUCUUUUUUUAUCAUUUACCUACUCGAGGACGAGCAGGAAUUAAGCUUGAGGAUGCCUGAUACGUCUCCAACGUAUCUAUAAUUUUUGAUUGCUCCAUGCUACUUUAUCUACUGUUUUUGACUAUAUUGGGCUUUAUUUUCCACUUUUAUAUUAUUUUUGGGACUAACCUAUUAACCGGAGGCCCAGCCCAGAAUUGCUGUUUUUUGCCUAUUUCAGUAUUUCGAAGAAACGGAAUAUCAAAUGGAGUCCAAAUGGAAUGAAACCUUCGGGAAUGUGAUUUUCUCACUGAACGUGAUCCAGGAGACUUGGACCCUGCUCCAAGGAACAAAAGAGGCGGUCACGAGGGUGGAGGGUGCGCCCCCCUACCUCGUGGGCCCCCUGCUGCUCCGUCGACGUACUGCUUCCUCCUAUAUAUACCUACAUAUCCCCAAACGAUCAGAACAGGAGCCAAAAACCUAAUUCCACCACCGCAACCUUCUGUAUCCACGAGAUCCCAUCUUGGGGCCUGUUCCGGAGCUCCGCCGGAGGGGGCAUCCACCAUGGAGGGCAUCUACAACAACACCAUAGCCCCUCCGAUGAAGUGUGAGUAGUUUACUUCAGACCUUCGGGUCCAUAGCUAGUAGCUAGAUGACUUCUUCUCUGUUUUUGGAUCUCAAUACAAUGUUCUCCCCCUCUCUCGUGGAGAUCUAUUCGAUGUAAUCUUCUUUUUGCGGUGUGUUUGUUGAGACCGAUGAAUUGUGGGCUUAUGAUCCAGUAUUAUCUAUGGAAAAUAUUUGAAUCUUCUCUGAAUUCUUUUAUGUAUGAUUGAGUUAUCUUUGCAAGUCUCUUCGAAUUAUCUUUUUUGGUUUGGCCAACUAGAUUGGUAGUUCUUGCAAUGGGAGAAGUGCUUAGCUUUGGGUUCAAUCUUGCGGUGUCCUUUCCCAGUAACAGCAGGGGCAGCAAGGCACAUAUUGUAUUGUUGCCAUCGAGGAUAACAAGAUGGGGUUUUUAUCAUAUUGCAUGAAUUUAUCCCUCUACACCAUGUCAUCUUGCUUAAGGCGUUACUCUGUUUUUAACUUAAUACUCUAGAUGCAUGCUGGAUAGUGGUCGAUGAGUGGAGUAAUAGUAGUAGAUGCAGAAUCGUUUCGAUCUACUUGUCUUGGACGUCAUGCCUAUAUACAUGAUCAUUGUCUAGAUAUACUCAUAACUAUGGUCAAUUCUAUCAAUUGCUCAACAGUAAUUUGUUCACCCACCGUAGAAUAUCUAUGCUCUUGAGAGAAGCCACUAGUGAAACCUAUGGCCCCCGGGUCUAUUCUCAUCAUAUCAAUCUCUAUCGCUUUAUUACUUGCUUUGCUUUUACUUUGCCUUUUACUUUUUACUUUGCAUCUAUCUAUCAAAGAUACCAAAAAUAUUAUUUAUCAUCUUCAUCAGAUCUCACUCUCGUAAGUGACCGUGAAGGGAUUGACAACCCCUAAUCGCGUUGGUUGCGAGUAGCUAUCGUUUUGUGUAGGUACGAGGGACUUGUGUGUGCUCUCCUACUAGAUUGAUACCUUGGAUCUCAAAAACUGAGGGAAAUAUUUAUGCUACUUUGCUGCAUCAUCCUCUCCUCUUCGGGGAAAUCCAACGCAAUGCUCAAGAGGUAGCAUUGACAAUGUAGAGCGGGUAUCCUGGAUUUUUUGAGGUGAUCAGGCUUUUCUAUCUCCGCAACACAUCAUCAUGAAGUCUCCUUAGAUUGCCGUAUAUGGCCUCUACCGCUGCCUUAGGUAGGAUCGGAUCACUGGGGAUAUGGUAUUUUGCCACACCUAUGAAAGGUAUACGGUCUUGAACCCGAGGCUGCGGAGGAGGCUGGCUCAUAGAAUCAGCUUUGUUGCCUUUACUCGGUCUCUUCCUAUGCUUCUUUUCUAUUGGAAGUGGUCCUAUAAUACGUUCAUCCUCUGGCAAUUCAGGCAUCAACUCAUCACGCUCAAACCCUGAGUACUCAUACUGCUGAGCCAUCAAUCCUCCUCAUCAUAGGCACCGGUAUUGAGAUAUUGUAGAGGGUCAUCAUCAUCCUCAUCGAUGCCAUCGAUAUCAUGCAUUGCUUCUUCGACGGCGGCGACGUCAUCAGCGACUAAUGGAGCCUCUUCCUCGCACCAUCCGCUAUUACCCUACAUGACAGGCGACGCUCAUUGGGUAGGUGGGGUGUUGGUGUUCAUACCUUGCCGAGACUGCGUGGUCGUGGGUGUGCUCCAGGCCGCCUUCACACGAAUCAGACUCUUUGGCCACAACAGGACCCAACUCUUACAAUCGCCAAGCCGCCGUGGGGUCUCGUCAUCAUCUCUCCCUAGUGCCGGAGGAGCCAAAUUCUUGUGGCCUGGUUUGGCACUGGCCACGGAAACCUUGAAGAUGUCAAGGGGGGAUUGGCGGGCUGUGGAACAAUUGUUCCUUCGGCUUCACUAUCGUCGCCUUUACCACAUCCACCUUCUGGCCGCUGAUGGUGUACAAUAUGGUGCACGGGGUUACGUCGGCCCGCAAAGACAUGUCUGCGACGUGAGACAUCCGAAAGGCACCGGAAACGGGAGAUUACACAUAUAUUAAAGAGGGCUGGUGUGACAAGUAGCGUGAGGCCGUCGAGCUUAGCCAAAGACGAAGCCCCGCCGAGCACGCCAGAGAUGGAGGACGAGCUGCUAGCAGGUGCGGGAGCAGAUGCGCUAAACGAGCUCUUCCCAAAGAAGUUGGAAAGGGGAAAGUCCGCUGUCUCUUUAUCUGGAUUUUUCUUGGUGCAACUGACGAUAGCCGGAACCAAGACACUAUACCAAGCUACCAUUUCCUCUCUUGCGGUAGCUACCGCUGCUUUGACUGUCUCAGCUAAUUUCUUAUCAACCGCAAUCUCAACCUUCUUGUCGAUGUUUUAUUCAUUUAACCUCAAUCUUUCCUUUCUCUCCUCCGUGGUCUCGCGAUAGUACUUCUUCCAUGUGGCGUCGUCUCUGAUGUGUGCUAGAACUACGUCGGUAUUUCCCCAAAGAGGAAGGGAUGAUGCAGUAUAGCGACAGUAGGUAUUUCCCUCAAUUAUGAGACCAAGGUUAUCGAACUAGUAGGAGAACCUCCUCACACCACGGAAACAGCACCUGCACACAAAUAACAAAUACUCGCAACCCGACGUGUUGAAGGGGUUGUCAAUCCCUUUCGGGUACGGCGUCUCAAGAUAGGAAAAUAACGUGAGGUAAAAGUGGUAGAUAGGAUAAAUAGAUCGCAGAACAAAUAAAUUGCAGCAAGGUAUUUUUGUAUUUUUGGUUUAAUAGAUCUGAAAAUAAAUGGAAAAUAAAAUAGAUCGCAAAGGCAAAUAUGAUGAAAAGAGACCCGGGGCCGUAGGUUUCACUAGUGGCUUCUCUCGAGAAAAAUAGCAAACGGCGGGAAAACAAUUCCUGUUGGGCAAUUGAUAGAACUUCAAAUAAUCAUGACGAUAUCCAAGAAAUGAUCAUUAUAUAGGCAUCACGUCCAAGAUUAGUAGACCGACUCCCGCCUACAUCUACUACUAUUACUCCACACAUCGAUUGUAUCCAGCAUGCAUCUAAUGUAUUAAGUUCAUGGAAAAAUGGAGUAAUGCAAUAAGAAUGAUGACAUGAUGUAAACAAGAUCUAUUUAUGUAGAAAUAGACCCCAUCUUGUUAUCCUUAAUAGCAAUGAUACAUACGUGUCAUUUCCCUUUCUGUCACUGGGAUCAAGCACCGUAAGAUCGAACCCAUCACAAAGCACCUCUUCCCAUUGCAAGAUAAAUAGAUCAAGUUGGCCAAACAAAACCCAAAUAUUGGAGAAUUAAUAUGAGGCUAUAAUCAAUCACACAUAUAAGAGAUCAAAGAAGACUCAAAUAACUUCCAUGGAUAAAAACAUAGAUCUGAUCAUAAACUCAAAGUUCGUCGGAUCCCAACAAACACACCGCAAAAAGACUUACAUCAUAUGGAUCUCCAAGAGACCAUUGUAUUGAUAAUCAAGAGAGAGAGAGAGAGAGAGAGACAGAGAGACAGAGAGAGAGAGGGAGGAAGACAUCUAGCUACUAACUACGGACCCGUAGGUCUACAAAGAACUACUCACACAUCAUCGGAGAGGCACCAAUGGAAGUGGUGAACCCCUCCGUGAUGGUGUCUAGAUUGGAUUUGGUGUUUCUGGACUCUGCGGCAACUGGAAUUGAUUUCCGUCGACUCCCCUAGGGUUCCUGGAAUAUUGGGGUAUUUAUAGAGCAAAGAGGUGGUUCAGGGGGCACCCGAGGUGGGCACAACCCACCAGGGCGCGCCUGGGCCUCCAGGCGCGCCCUGGUGGGUUGCGCUCCCCUCGGAGCACCCCCCAGAUGCUUUCUUGGCCCACUAGAUGUUUUCUGGCCCAAAAAAUCCUCAAAAAGUUUCUCUGUGUUUGGACUCCGUUUGAUAUUGAUUUCCUGCAAUGUAAAAAACAUGCAGAAAACAGCAACUGGCACUGGGCACUAUGUCAAUAUGUUAGUACCAGAAAAUGAUAUAAAAUGACUAUAAAAUGAUUGUAAAACAUCCAAGAAUGAUAAUAUAACAUCAUGGAACAAUAAAAAAUUAUGGAUACGUUGGAUACGUAUCAGUCUCCGAUGUCGUGCACCCGUCCAAACGGUGGCCGACUGUCCACUAGGAGUCCUUUCAAUAUGUUCAAGGCCCGGUUGAAAGGGGUGUCCCAUUUGAGCCUCACCAACGCUUCAGAUGACGAGCCGCUUUCGGCCGCAAUCCUGUGCUUCUCUUUCUGCAAAAGCAACAAGGAUCGUUUACAAAUGUGACUAAACGUGAUGUCGAAUUGAUCAGAAGCUAAAAUUAGGGGGUAAAUUAAAAAUUACCAGCAGUCUCAUGAACUCUGUCGUGACUGCGUGUGUUUCGAAAACCUUGUUGAUUAGGACCCAAUGGUACCAGGCCCUAAUGCCAUCAUGCUCCUGCGGGACGGUGAGCUCCGCCAAGGGGUCUGGGAUCCCCAAACUUUUUCCUUCCAUGCCCUCCUUGGCCCAUAUGGGCCCGUCCUCCGUGUAACCAUGGCUUCCGAGGUGGUGUCACCCCAGGUUACUCUCUUGAAGCCCCUUCAUGUACUUCGACUUUUCUUUGGCAGCUUCGGCAAUGCAAGCCUCCUUGAAUAUUUCAAACUGCUCUUAUUUAAUUGUCGGAUUAUCCUUUACGAUCUCGGAGUAGGAUUCCUUUUUGACCAUGAUCCGAUGUUUCACCCUUACUUUCUAGGAGGACAACACGCUGCUAAACUUGCCAAUGGCGCUUUUGUUUGUCUUUUUCAUUGCCUCUUGCCACGGUCGAGUAUAUUUGAUUUCAUCCCGGCCCAGGAACAAGAAUUCCUGGUGCAGCUUCCCUAGGAGGGAGUGCUCCCUAUUUGGUAUCUUCUUUACUUUCUCAUCGUUGAUGGUGGUGGUUGCCCGUAGGAUGUAGCCUAUUUGAUUGCCAUAGCACGCGCGCGCUUCCACAUGCUCUUUUGUCUCAAAAUUGCCGGAGUCCACCUCCGUGACCACCAGUCUAGUAGUGUUGAGCUGGUUUGGGUGAUGUAUCCUCUUCGGUUUCGGUUCUAUACCGGUUUUGGCUAGUCUCGGUGCCGGUGUCGGUCUCAGCUCCGGUCUCGACGCCGGUGUGUAGGAUCAAAAGUAGGUCUAGAGGAUGGGUGAUUAGACCACUUGACCAAAUAAAAUCUAGCCUUUCCAAAUUUUAUGUCUUGGCAGAUUUUAACAACUUAGCACAAGUUAAGCAAUCAACCUACACAUGCAAUUCUAAGAGUGUAGCACAAGAAAGUAAAACAUUGUGUAUGAAGGUAAAGGGAAGGGUUUGGAGAAGGCAAACGCAAUGUAGACACUGAGAUUUUUGGCAUGGUUCCGAUAGGUGGUGCUAUCGUCCAUCCACGUUGAUGGAGACUUAAACCCACAAAGGGUAACGGUUGCGCGAGUCCACGAAGGGCUCCACCCAUGAAGGGUCCACGAAGAACAAACCUUGUCUAUCCCACCAUGGCAAUCGCCCAUGAAGGACUUGCCUCACUUGGGUAGAUCUUCACGAAGUAGGCGAUCUCCUUGCCCAUACAAACUCCUUGGUUCAACUCCACAAUCUUGACAGAGGCUCCCAAGUGACACCUAACCAAUCUAGGAGAAGUAAUAGAUGGUGUGUUGAUGAUGAACUCCUUGCUCUUGUGCUUCAAAUGAUAGUCUCCCCAACACUCAACUAUCUCUCACAGAUUUGGCUAUGGUGGAAAGAGAUUUGAGUGGAAAGCAACUUGGGGAAGGCUAGAGAUCAAGAUUCUUGUGGUUGUGUUGGAAUGUCUUGAUCUAAACACAUGAGUAGGUAGUUCUCUCGCAGAAAACGAGUAGUGGGAGUGUAGGCACGUUCUGAUGGCUCUCUCUCUAAUGGAGAAGGGGGUGGAUGGGUAUAUAUAGCCUCCACACAAAAUCCAACCGUUACACACAUUUGACCCAACUUGGUCAGACCGAAUAGAGAAACUCAGUGAGACCGAUUUAGUUCAAAAUAUGAACAUUAGGAAUCUUGGUGGUACCAGCAUGAUCAACUCGGUGGGACCUAUAUUAUUGGGCUAGGGCAAAACCUCAUCUCGGUGAGACCGAUCGCAUAAACCCGGUGAGACCGAUUUCAGCGAUGAGCAAAUAGAGACUUGGCCAAGAAAACUCAGUGGGACCGAUCGCUCCUUUCGGUGAGAAUGAAAUGUUACGAAAGGGAAACAGAGAGUUUGCAACGCGAACUCGGUGGGACCGAUCGCUCAUUUUGGUGAGACCGAAAUGUUACGAAGGGAAACAGAGAGUUUGCAAUGCCAUCUCGGUGAGACCGACAACCGUAGCGGUGAGACUGAAUUGAUUAGGGUUUCUGCCGAUAGCUAUGUCAAAUGAACUCGGUGGCGCCGGAUAUAUCAAAUUGGUGGGGCUGAGUUUGACUUUAGGUUUUGGACAAAUGCGGAGAUGAGAAAGUGGUUGAGGGUUCUUGGAGCAAUAUCACUAAGCACUUAAGCAAGUAGACCAUUAAGAAACACCUCAUUCCCUUUUAAUAGUAUUGGCUUUCCUAUGGACUCAAUGUGAUCUUGGAUCACUAAAGUGAAAAUGAAGAGUCUUGAGCCUUUGCCAAUCUUUGUCCUUAGCAUUUUGAGGGGUACACAUCUCUAGUCCUUGCCAUGCCAAUCAUUGAACUUUCUGAAACAUUUAACUUGAAUGGAUAUUAGUUCAAUGAGCUAUAUGUUGUUAUGAAUUACCAAAACCACCUGGAUAUUAGUUGCACUUUCAAUCUCCCCCUUUUUGGUACUUGAUGAUAACAUAUAGAUCAAAGCUUUGACAAAUGAUAAUAUUAAUGAAAUACAUCACCGCUUUGAGAAGUAUGUGAUAAUCAAGAGCUCCCGCUAAAUUUGUGCAUUAUUUAAAUUUGCUUUUGAAUGCAAAUGCACAAUCAGUUAGGAUCAUGGGUCACUCUUCCAUGUCACAUACAUCUUGGUGGAGCACUCAAAAUGAUAAGCAGUAAUAAACAUUCAGUCAUCACCAAAGACAAACAUGAUUGAUCAUACACAUAUCAUCAAGCAAGCACACAUUAAAGCAUAGUAUGAUCAAACAUAUGAUCAUAGGAGUAUCUCUCACACAAGCACGAAUAUUGUAGCUUGCAAACGAUCAAAGCAGAAAUGACCAAAGUAGCAAGAGAGGCAACAAAAAGGCAAAGCACACACACACACACACUCUCUCGAAGCCUAAUGAUCUAUACACUUUCUCCCCCUUUAGCAACAAGUUACCAAAAAGCUUGAAAAUGCAGAGUGCUAUGCGGCACUCUAGGCACGAUCUCUCGGAGCUCCUGAAGGGGUCUUCUGUCUUGUUGCUCUGAUGCGUAGAUGGCAUUGAGAGGAGUCCGUCUGCAAAAGCUUCAGUUGAUGUCUGUGGAGAUGGAGGAGUUGAAACUUGAGGAAUCACUGAGGCAGUUGCUGCAGGUGCUAAUAUUGUUGUCCUGGUAUCACUGGAAACUGGUAAGCUGAAGACCUUGGUGCUCUAGGCACUUGCUGAAAGGCAUAUGUGGUUGGUCCUUCAUUAUUUCUUCAAGCUCUUCAUGGAUUGUCUCCACAGUUGAUUGGAUCUCAGUGACCUUCACAUCUAGAUCAUGAAUCUUUGUCUCAAUAAUCCUCUCAAGACUCUCUUGAUUCUGAGUCAGGUUGGCCAAUCCCUUCUCAAUCCUCACAGUAGCCUCAAUCAAAUAGCUGACUUGAUCCUGCUUGGUCUUGAGCAUCACCUGUGAAGCAUCUGGAGCACUAGCUGGCUUGCUGCUUUUGCGGCCUUUGCUUUCUCUCUCUUCUCCUGGGCUUCUAUACAUGUUGGAUGAGAUGGAUCCAUGACAACCUCAUUGUCCUCAAAGUCUAGCCUCAGGGGAAGAUGCUCUUUGUCAAUAAGAUAUGUCCCUUUCCCCAUCUUGGAGUUGAUAAGCAUCUGAAUGUGAGGGGCAUAUCCACAUGAUUUCUUUUGAUCUGCUAUAGUUCUCUUCAAUGUUUCAACAAUGAGACUCAUGACCUUGAAUUUCUGUGGCGCAUCAAAUAAGUGAAGCAAAUUGAUAGAAUGGCCAUAGAUCAUCCUAUGAUCUCCUGACUUGGGCAGCAAAGUGUGCCUCAGAAUGGUGUUGAUGGUGGUCAAGCCAGAGACAAGAUAGUAGAUGGAUCCAAACUUAUGAGUCUCCAAAGCCUUAUCAGGAAUUUCUUGGUACAUAUGUGCCUUGGAGUUGUGGUCCUUCCUGGGCUUGGCAUACACAUCAAUAUCAUCCUCAUGUUCAGUAGGGGCAUUGAUAAACUUAGCCCAUUCAGCAAUAGUAGACUGGUACCUGGUUCCUUCAGUCAUCCAGACUAUCUUGCCAUCCGGAUAGAAGUGUGAAGUGGAGUAGAAUUGCAUAAUCAUCUCAUCAUUCCACUUUAUCAAUUUUUGUCGAACAAAUUUGUCCACUUCAUUCAUCCUGAAGCUCUCAUGCACUCCAGGCAAGUAAUCUUCAUUCUCAUCAAUAUAGGUCCAAUCCACCCAUCUAAUGUCACAUACAAUGGGUUUCUUGUCCAGCAACACUGUUUCAUAAAAGUCCUAUUGUUCCUUGGUGUGGAAACGAUAGUCAACAACAGUCAGGGAUCAGACUGUCUCCACAGUCUCCGACUUGCAUCUUUUCUGACCUUCAUGUUCUCAGCAAUGGGAUGGUUAUCAUCAAGAGCAAGUAUCUUUGGCUUUAAUUUUUGAAGCACUUGUUGCUCUUCUUCUUGUUGUUCUUCUUCAACUUCUGGCAUCGAGCCUUGUUCUUCUAAGGUGUAGAGAUGUUCCUGGUGGAUCUCUUGGGUGCAGGGGGUUUGGAGGCAGCAGCGGGCUUGGGGACUGUCUUAGGCUUAGAUGGAGCAGCCCCAAACUUGACGGCAUCCCCCAUAAGCUUUUGAGUCUUUGCAGGAGGUGCAACAGGCUCUUCCUCCUCCUCUUCUUCAGAAUGUAUGAUCAUAGAAGGCUUGCCAAUGACUCUGGCCAUAGUCUUCUUGACUCUUUCCUUCAUUUUCUUUCCUCCAGUAGCCUCUUCUUCUCUUUGUUCAAGAGUGAACUCCAUAGUUUACUGAGUGGAGGCUCUGGCUUUGGACAUGAGAACUCUCUUGGCAGUAGCUUUCUUCUUCAUGCCAGGCUUGGUGGAGGCAGCAGCACCAUAUUCCUUCUUUAGCACUUUCUUCUUUGAGGUCACCUCCUCAACUACAAAAUCCUCAUCCUAUGAAUCUGAGGUUUUCUUCUUCCUUUGCCUAACAGUGGCCUUAGGCAGGUUGCUUGGAGUGCGUUUGCUUCCUUCAUCAUAGCUGCUAUUGGAGGGACUAGUGCCCUCACUAAGAUUUACCUACUCCUCUGACCUGUUCUGACUAUCACUGUUGUCUGACAUCUUUGAAACUGUCCCUAUGAAUAGAUAGGUAUAGGUAGAGUAGAUGAGCAUCAAAAAGCACAACUAUUUUGGAAAAUAGUUAACACAAAACUUAAUUUUAGUUUUUUGCAGAAAGCAUUUCGGAGCUAGCGAUUUGCCUAACUCGGUGACACCGAAGCAGCUGCAGAGUCUAAACAUGCGAUUUCGGUCAGACCGAGAUGCAGUUCGCUGACUCCGAGAUGCUAGGGUUUCUCAAAGUGAGUGAUUUAUGUCACACCAAUUUGUACACUUUGGUCAGACCUAGUACAUGUGGAAUGGCCUAAGACAAAUCGGUGAGACCAAAGCCUUCAGAUCGGUUGCUCCGAGAUGAGUUCGGCGGAAACCUAACCCUAAGUUUUUGCAUCAAAUCUACUCUAGAGGAAGUUUUCGGUGGAUAGAUUUAUCUCAAUCGCGGCAAGAAACUUGGCAUUGAUCUUUGUGCAAGAAUCUAAGUUAAAGAGAGCACAAAGAGAUCGAGUCCAUACCCUAAUUAACUUGGCGACGAACUCACUACGGCGACAACGGCGGUGGAGAUUCCCAUUGACGGCGGCGGAAACCAACGGCAGGAGGACGCUGGCGACCAUGGAGACGAUCCAGAGACCUGGAGGGGCGGCAGAGCUGGGUAGGCGCGGUUGUGUGUUUGAGGAAAUUUCCAAAGUCCAACCCACGGAGUAUAUAUACAUAGUCGAUGUGAGUGUGACCAAGUGGAAUGAAUCGGUGACACCGAGAUGCAAAACUGUGAGCAGUUACUUCAACUCGGUGUGACCGAAAUGUUCUAAUCGGUUGCACUGAGGUGAAAACCUAGAUCAACUUAAUGAUUUUGGUGAGACCGAGUAUGGUGGAUCGUUCUGACCGAGAUGCAUUAAGAGGUUUUGAAAGUUUAAGCCCUUGACGGAUCGGUGGCUCCGAGUGCUCCUCAUCCGGAGGGUUCGAAUUCAACUUGUUCAAGCUUUGUGAUGUAGCAAGAAUAGAGUUUGAGAUGAGAAAAGCAUAGAUAGCUAGAGGGAGUACUUAGGAAUUCUUGUCCAUCCAUUUGGCAAAAAGAAAAACCAAACAAUCAAAGCAACAAAUGGAUGUCCUCGAAUGCAGAAAAUUAUGCAACCAACAUGUUCACACAAUAAGAUAGCAAAUGAAAUAUGUGGCAAAUCAUGCACAAACACUCUAGCAUCUAUCAAGCAAUUGGCGAUGACUAGCUCAUCUAUAUAUGAGUAUAUUGACUUAGGAGUCAAAUGAGAACAUUUGAUCAUAGGUCAUACUCAUCGUUUAAGCAAAAGUGGGGUUACCACUUUUACAUAAAGCAUUGUUGUGUUCACACCAUUAUAGUUACUUUAGCUCAAUUCUUAGAGUAAUGCUCCCCCUAGAUGUGAUAUCCCCUUUUAGAGGGAUGAACUAACCUUGGGUUUUGUCGAUGAUGACUUCAUGUAGAUGUUGAAGAUGUGGAUGCUCAAUGUUGAUGUAAAUCAUUUGGAGCAGUCCAUUGGAGUGAGUUUCACUUUCAAUACCUACAUGGUUUAGUCCCACAAGGAACAAACAAGGAUAUCCAUAGACAUAGAGUGAAGUACACAUAUGAUGACGUCCAUGGAAGCAUUUGGUUACCUUGUCCCUUAACUUACCAACAAGAUGGUUUGUGACUCCUUGAACUAUUGCAAGAUAUGGAAUUUGAUUGCACUUGUCCUUGCCAAUAUGAAUAUGAGUGAAGUAUGUGGGCGGAGUCACCCUCAAGAACUCUCUAGUUCUUCUUCUUUGGGAUCCACAUCAACUUGAUGGGAAUCCUUGGAGUUGUAGUAGUACUUGACGAAGUAGAACUUGAUGUAGUCUUGGGAACCCACCUGACCAAGCCCUUUGGAUCUUCUUCAAAUGCAUCAAUCUCCUCUUGAAGUUUUUCCUUGCCUUUUAGCUUGUGGUCUUGUGGUGGAAUAUCAUCUUGAGCUUGUGUUCCCUUAAAAGAAGUAGGGUCAUACUUCUCCUGUUGAGGAACAAACUUCGUCUUGGGGUAUUGAUCUUCUUCCCACUCAACUCCAUUGGCAUUGAACUUCCGUUCAAAACCAACACCUUGAUUCUUCCGGUGCCUUCCUUGUUUGCGUACAAUUUCCUCAAAUUGCUUACUUCCGGCAAGGCUCUUGUAAACACCUUUGUCUAUAAUUCCCUUCAAUAAGCUAUUUUCUUGCUCAAGUGUACCUUGGCUAAGAGAAUCAUUAGUGGAUCAAGAGAACUACUAGAAGCAACAAUAUUGGAUUUGGCAAGAUUAUUGUUACUACUGGAAGAAGAAUCUUUCUUACUCUUGUUGCUAGAUUUUACUUGUGGCAUGUAAGUAGACAAGAGUAAACGCUUGGCAAUGUAAGAAGAACUUUUCUUCAGAAGAUCAUCAUUGAUUGCUUUUAAGAACCCAUGCUAUUUCUCUAAAUUGAGCUUUUCAAAGCGUAGCUUCUCAUGUGUUUUUAAAAGUUCUCGAUGAUCUUCUAAAGUAGUUUCAUGAGAUAACUUAAGAGUGUUUAGUUCUUUAGUUAGACGCUCAAUCUCCUUCUUAUCAUUGUCAUUUGUUUCAUCUUGAUUAGCAUGAUUAAUAGCAAUUUCAUCAUAGUUUUCAUCACUAGUAUUGUCAACAAGCAAAUCAUCAUCACGUAGCAAAUCAUCUUCAUCACCAUUGAAAUCACUAUACUCGAGGUGUAUUACCUUAGGGCCUUUGGCCAUGAAGCAUCUUAUAAUUCCUUCAUUUGGUGAGUCAAAUAUGUCAUAGGAGUUGGUUGACACAAGUGCAUGACCGACAACACCUUCAUCUUGAGUAUAUUCGGAGUCGAAGUGGUAACUUCUCUCUAAGUAGUUGUCAGAGUCGAAACGGGAUACCCAUUCACCAACAUGAGCUUGAUGUCUUCGUCUUGUGUAGCUCCUUGAUGACUUGUGCUUCCUUUAUGAAUCCUUGCUUCUACGAGAGGGUCUUCGUUCAUAACAAUAAUCUCUACUCCUUCUCUCUCUUGGAGGUGAUUCAUCUCUUUUACUUCUCCUUUUAGGUGAGACUUCUCUUCUUUUGUAGGGAUACGUACACUCAUUGGAGUAGUGUCCGGGUGUUCCACAAUUGUAGCAAUUGCGAUCAUGACUAGAAGAUCUUUUGUCAUUGUAGGACCUUGACUUGGAGCUUCUCUCUUUGUUUCUAAUCUUGUUGAAUUUGUUGAAGUUCUUCACCAUUAAGCUCAAUUCUUCAUUGAAGACUUGUUUCUCACUUGAUGUGGCAGGAGCAUCACAUGAAGCUCUAUAAGUACCACUAGACUUGUUGUGCAGCUCUUCCUUAUCCUUGAGUGACAUCUCAUGAGCAACAAUUCUUCCAAUGACUUCCGUUGCUUGAGAUCUUUGUAAUUGGGCAUCAUUUGGAUCAAGGUGCACACGAUAUCAUAUUUUCCAUCCAAGGCUCUUAGGAUCUUCUUGAUGACGAAUUUGUCGGUCAUCUCUUUGCUUCCUAAGCCGGCAAUCUCAUUUGUGAUGAGAGCAAGCCUAGAGUACAUUUCAGCGACUCCUUCACACCAUCCUUCAUUUUGAACUUGUCAAGUUGACUUUGAAGCACAUCCAAUUUGGAUUCCUUGAUGGACUUGGUACCUUUGUGCAUAUCAACCAAAGUAUCCCAAAUUUCCUUUGCAUUCUCAAGGCGGCUGAUGUUGUUGAAUUCUUCGGGGCACAAUCCAUUGAAGAGGAUAUCGCAAGAUUGUGCAUUGUAUUGCAACAUCUUCAAUUCUUCCACAGUUGCUUCACGAUUUGGUUCUUUUCCAUCCUCGAAGAAUUCAUCUUGCAAACCAAUAUACACAAUAGCCCAAACGGGGGGUUAUGUCCAAGAAUAUCCAUUAUCAUCGUAUGCUUCAAACUAGCAAAAUUAGUACCAUCAAAGUAAGGACCUCUACGGUGGUAAUUUGCCUCGCUAGACGCCAUACUCUCCUAGGCUGUGAAACCAAGGCUAUGAUCACUAAGAGCUAUGAAAAUGAAAGCAAAUGGAGACCAAAGCUCUGAUACCACUUGUAGGAUCGUAACUAGGUCUAGAGGGGGGGGGGUGAUUAGACUACUUGAAAAAAAUAAAAAUCUAGCCUUUUCCCAAUUUUAUGUCUUGGCAGAUGUUAACAACUUAGCACAAGUCAAGCAAUCAACCUACACAUGCAAUUCUAAGAGUGUAGCAGCGGAAAGUAAAACAUGAAGGUAAAGGGAAGGGUUUGGAGAAGGCAACCGCAAAGUAGACACGGAGAUUUUUGGCGUGGUUCCAAUAGGUGGUGCUAUCAUACAUCCACGUUGAUGGAGACUUCAACCCACGAAGGGUAACGGUUGUGUGAGUCCAUGGAGGGCUCCACCCACGAAGAAGCAACCUUGUCUAUCCCACCAUGGCCAUCGCCCACGAAAGACUUGCCUCACUUGGGUAGAUCUUCACAAAGUAGGUGAUCUCCUAGCCCUUACAAACUCGAUGGUUCAACUCCACAAUCUUGACGGAGGCUCCCAAGUGACAUCUAACCAAUCUAGGAGACACCACUCUCCAAAAUGUAAUAGAUGGUGUGUUGAUGAUGAACUCCUUGCUCUUGUGCUUCAAAUGAUAGUCUCCCCAACACUAAACUCUCUCACACAGAUUUGGCUAUGGUGGAAAGAUGAUUUGAGUGGAAAGCAACUUGGGGAAGGCUAGAGAUCAAGAUUCUUGUGUUUGGAUUGGAAUGUCUUGAUCUCAACACAUGAGUAGGUGGUUCUCUCUCAGACAAUGAGUAGUGGAAGUGUAGGCACGUUCUAAUGGCUCUCUCUCUCUAAUGGAGAAGGAGGUGGAGGGGUAUAUAUAGCCUCGACACAAAAUCAAACCAUUACACACAUUUGACCCAACUCGGUCAGGCUGAAUAGAGAAACUCGGUGAGACUGAUUUAGUUCAAAAUGUGAACGUUAGGAAUCUCCGUGGGACCUACAUGAUCAACUCGGUGGGACAGAUGUGCUAGGGCUAGGGCAAAACUCAUCUCAAUGAGACCGAUCGCAUAAACUCGGUGAGACCGAUUUCAACGAUGAGCAAACAGAGACUUGGCCAAGCAAACUCUGUGGAACCGAUCGCUCCUUUUGGUGAGACUGAAAUGUUAGAAAAGGGAAAUAGAGAGUUUGCAAUGCCAACUCGGUGGGCCGAUCGAUCAUUUUGGUGAGACCGAAAUGUUACGAAGGGAAACAUAGAGUUUACAAUGUCAUCUCGGUGAGAUCAACAGCCGUAUCAGUGAGAACAAAUUGAUUAGGGUUUCUGGUUAUGGCUAUGUCAAAUGAACUUGGUGGCGCCGGAUAGAUCAAAUUGGUGGGGCCGAGUUUGACUUUAGGUUUUGGACAAAUGUGGAAAUGAGAAAGUAGUUGAGGGUUUUUGGAGCAAUAUCACUAAGCACUUAAGCAAGUAGACCAUUAAGCAACACCACAUCCCCUUUUAAUAGUAUUGGAUUUCCUAUGGAUUCAAUGUGAUCUUGGAUCACUAAAAUGAAAAUGAAGAGUCUUGAGCCUUUGCCAAUCGUUGUCCUUAGCAUUUUGAGGGGCCCACAUCUCAAGUCCAUGCCAUGCCAGUCAUUGAAAUUUCUGAAACAUUUAACUUGAAUGGAUAUUAGUUCAAUGAGCUAUAUGUUGUUAUGAAUUAAAAAAACCAACCGGGGAUUAGUUGCACUUUCAAUACUUUCGAUUCUACACAGUGUCGGUCUGGGCACCAGUUUGGGCGCCGGUCUCGAUGUCGAUCUCAGUCUCAGAUGUGACAGGUGGGCACUACAACAACCGUUGCUCCUCGAUAAGGUUCAAAUAGGCAUCUACCUCCUCGUAGAUGUUGCAAUCACUAGGACCCUGUCCUUCAUUGUUGCUAGCCAUGUUUCCUACGAUUAUAUCUAGUCAAUUAAUUAUAGACCUAAUAAAAUGAAUAAUGACACAAAAAGACCUAUGUUUUGCAGGAAUGUUGAUUCAUUCCCGUUGCAGCAAAUCCCGGGCACUCGAUAUGUCCUAGUUUGUAGCACAAGUCAUGACGAAAUUCACAGAAAAUUUUGGCAUGACCUUUGCUACAAAGUGGACAAAUCGAGCACCUGAAAUUUGCCGGAACGGAAAUGAAUCAACAUUCCGACAAAAUAUAGGCCAGUCGGCUUCAUUCCUUGCAAACAACAAAAGGCCACAUGGUCACAAUCGAAUCACUUCAAUGUUGCACAUAACAGGACCACUUAAGAACCUGUACACGAGCAACUACAACAAUAGAUAUACAUGAGCAAACACCAUUGAGGAAUUCGCAUAUAACAUGAAAAGAUAUAAUCAACAAUAAUGAAAUAUGCAAAUGAACAUCAAUGACAUAUAUCAUAUAACAUCAAUCUUGUUUUUUGUUUAUCUAGCAACAAUUACUUUAACUAAGUUUUUAAAAAGAAAAACAAUUCUGUUUUUUGUUUAUAGCUAAAUGCCAUAGCUAAUAUUUUUUAUUUAUCGCUAAAUGAUUUUGUUUUUCGUUUAAAGCUAAUUUAUAGCUAAAUGCUAAAUGCUACUAUUUUUUAUAGCUAAAUGCUACUAUUUUUUAUUUAUAGCUAAAUGCUACUGUUUUUUAUUUAUAGCUAAACGCUACUCUUUGUUAUUUUAUAGCUAAUUUAUAGACCCUCUGUUAAUGCCCUAGCUAAAUUCUAUUAUUUAUAUACCCUCUGUUAAUUCAAAGCUAAAUGGAAUUACUAUUUAGGCAUUUUCAUAAAAAAUUGCCCUAGCUAAUUUCCUAAAAAAAGUUGCUAAUUUUUUCCUAAAUGCUAAGAAAAUUCCUACUGUCCUAAACAAAUCUAGGGUUCAUAUGAACACCCAGGGUUCAUAUGAACAUCAUCACAGCAGCAACAUAUGAAAUUUGCCAUAGCAGAGAGAGAGAGAGACAGAGAGAGGGCAUGGGAGAAGAGAGGGAGAGGCUUACAGUCGGCGGCGGUCCAAGGCGGGCUCGGGCGGCAGCGGCGAGGUCGAGGGUGGCGGCAGUGAGGUUGAGGGCGGCCUUGGGCAGCGACAGUGAGGUCGAGGGCGGGCUCGGGCGACGGCCGGCGUUGAGGGCGGGCUCGGGCAGGGCAAUCGACGGCGGUGACAGAGGAGUGAGGGGAUAGGGGGAGAGGGGGGAAAGGACUUAGCAAAACUUUGAGCCCGCGCGGGCGGUUAAGUCAAAAUAGCAGUAGUACUGGAAGCAAAAAUGUGCUAUAGCUAAGUUAGCUAUAGCGCUCUUUACCCAAAUGCGCUACUGCUAUAGGAAGUAGCUGUUUAUUUUCCUUUUCCUUUUCCUUUUAUCUAAGGAACUUAACUUUAGCACGGGCCUAUAAAAAGCGCUACUGCUAGAGUAGUUGUUGCUCUUUGUGAGAACAAGCGCUACUGCUAUGCCUUUCUCCUUUAUUUUUAUUUUUAUUUUGUUUUUCUUUACAUUUUGUCUCUUUCAUUUCUCCUUUUUCUAUUUCUUUCAUUUUCAUUUACUUUUCUAUUUUUUUUUUCAUUUUAUAUUCCUUUUCUUAGCAGCUCUCCACCGAAAACGCGCUACUACAAGGAACUUAGCAGUAGCGUGCUUUCCGCAGGAUUGCUACUAUUAUUUCUAGCCUACUGGCAACACUGUGGGAAUUAUAGUAGUAGCGCUUUUACGUGGAAACACGCUACUGCUACCACCAUAGCUGUAGCACCCUUUGUUGACGCGCGCUACUGCUAAGUAGCAGUAGCCUUUUUUCUGACCAGCGCUACUGCUACACCUAUGUGUAUAAGGUUUUUCCUAGUAGUGUACGGUCCACCGAUUUGGUGGUUGUGAUCUAGAUCUGAUCGGCCGGGUGGUGAUGACUGCAGACUGUACUGCAACGACUCCCCUCGGCUCCACAACAACGGUGGUCAUCAGAAUGUUUUCGGAGGGUUCAUCUCUCUUGAUCUGUUGGUUGACUUCGACGGUGAGAUACAAAUUAUGGACAACGGCUUGACAGAGUAGGGGCUAUGCUGUGGCAGUGAGCGCAUCGCUUGUAGUUGUUGGGACCAUGAAAAGUGAUGGCGACAACACAUGAGUAGCUUCGAUGGUGGUGCUCCUCAAGCACUCGGUCUCAAGCUCCAUGGUGAAAGCCUAGGUCAGACCUGAGUUGGUUAUACCUUGGCGAUGGCGAUGUUUUUUUUACAUCAUGACCUUGUUGAAGGCAUUCACUAGUGUGGAACCGGGCUAUAGCACUGGUUUGUAGGGCUAUUAGUGCCGGUUUUGUAACUGGCACUAAAGGAUGGGGACUAAAGGCCCCCCCUUUUGUACAGGUUCAUCACGAACCGCCACUAAAGUGCCACCAUGUGGCACGAGGCACGGCUGGAUGCGGGGAGACCUAUAGUACCGGUUGGUAACACCAACCGGUACUAAAUGUUCGGGUGGUUUUGUUUUUUUUCUUUAGUUUUGUGUUCUGAAUUUAAUUUAGAGAUUGUUUUUACACUAUAAUGAGUUGUUAAAUCAUUAGGUGAAAGUACCCGCAGAUUAGUUUCAACUGGAUAUGCAUGGAUCCUAGCUAAGUGAUCAAAGUAUAUAUGCCAUAUCCAUAUAUAUUACUUGAUCAUUUAUAUUAGGUGAGCAAGUAAUUAGUAUGGAUAUGGCAUAUAUAUACUUGAUCACUUAGCUAGCUAGGAUCCAUCCAGUUGAAACUAAUCUGCGGUUUCUUUCAUAAAUGAUAUAAUAACUCAUCAUCAUCAUAUCAAUAUAAAAGCUAUUGCAUCAUAUAUAUCAUCACCAACAAGUUAACGGUAUACUAGCUAGCUAAAAAUCAUUAUAGUCGUCAUUACCACUAUGUAAUCAUCAUAGUCAUUACCUCUAUCUAAUCAUCACCAAUACCAGCUUAAAUAAGAACCAUUCACUUUGUACCAGAAGGAAAGAUAUCAUCGAGUUUAACAUGAUCACUCUUUGAGAUUAAGUUCAGGACGAAGAACACGGACAUGAGAGGACAAGUACUAAGAGCAUGCUAAUCACUCCGGCUGCUCUCUCUCAGGUAAAAUGGCAUAGAACAUGUGUAGCUGUCCUGAUUCAUCAUAUUGGAGCAUGCAGAUGAACCUGUCUCGUAAUCGUGGGUUGCGCUUCUGCUUGUUGACACCUAGUACUUCUCUUCGAUCAUUCACAGUUUUGCUCCAGUCACCAUUAAGCAUUCCUCGGUUCUAGAAAUCUUGAAUGCACUUGUGUGCAAUGUAGGAUGUCUUGGCCGUAAGCUAAAAAUUGACAUGCGACCGUUAGUCGAGAUCCACUGAGGCACAACUAUCAUCGGAAGUCUGUGUUGAAGAGAACAUCGUAUAGUAACAUACUUAGCAACAUGAAGUUUAGCUUAAAAAAAUAAUGUAUGCAAAAGAUGCACUGAGGACAAAGAGUAAAAAUCUUACCAUCUUUCCUAAAUACAUGUGAUCGUAGUUCAAUAUGAACACUAUUGGUCGCACAUUUUGAGUACUAAGAUUUGCAAGUCUAGGAAAAUAAUUUCUCUUGACAGUUUCAGGAUCCUCAAGCCAUGAAACAUAUUGACUUAUCUCCUCGCAGUUUAGUUCAAUCCCGGGACAGUGGACGGUCAUGUCUACCAAGCGCUGGACAUGUUUGCUUGAAUGGAAAUAAGUUGUCAAUUGAAAUUAGUAGUCAACUAUUUUUGAAAAAACAAUAUCAACAUAAAUAUGGCAUGAGAAACUCACAUAAUGGUAGAACUGGAGGCGUCUGCACAUCGACCCAAAUGUCUCUAUUAUCUUCAAUAUCAUCUUCGGGACGAAUAUCAAAGGUGAUAAACAUAUAAGGCUCAAAUGCAUAAGCCUUGCAUAGUGCUUGCCAAGUUUUGCAUUCAAAAUGGGUUUAGGUUUCUUGAUGGUAUAAUUUGACGUUGAAGGUAUAACCAUGCUCAGUCUUCAAGUAAACUCUCUUUACCUCCAUAGUUUUGUCACGACUGGAACCUAUCUUAUCCAAGACAAAAAUUCUUGCAUGGCAGGGGAUACGCUAGUAGAAUAGUGAAAAUUUAAAAUAAUAAGUUGAAGCAAAUGAAGCAUAUAUAAGUCAUGCUUAAUUAAGAAAAAAGACUUGUCGUUGUGACUUACUGUAUCCACUUCGAAGGUCUCAUUCAGCUUGAUGCUGAAGCGCCUAUCAUCAACUAGGAAACUUCUGUCGCACAGGCCGCGUUGGUCUUCGCAGUCUUCGCACAUAAUGAAUUCGUUUUCGUCGUCAAAAAACAUUUCCUAUGUCCAUAGGUGAAACAUUAAACACUUAUUAGUUAUAUAUUAAUUAACCUAAUUAGACUAGUUCUAUUAAUUCAACUAGCUAGUUCAACUAAUUAAUUCAACUAAGCACUUACUAAAAAUAUACCUAAAUAAAGUAUAUAUAGCUCCUAAUUCAACUAAUUAACUAGUUCAACUAAUUCAACUAAUUCAACUAAACUAGUUCUAUUAAUUUUCUUACUAAAAAUAAAGUAGCUAGUUCUAUAUACUAANNNNNNNNNNNNNNNNNNNNNNNNNNNNNNNNNNNNNNNNNNNNNNNNNNNNNNNNNNNNNNNNNNNNNNNNNNNNNNNNNNNNNNNNNNNNNNNNNNNNNNNNNNNNNNNNNNNNNNNNNNNNNNNNNNNNNNNNNNNNNNNNNNNNNNNNNNNNNNNNNNNNNNNNNNNNNNNNNNNNNNNNNNNNNNNNNNNNNNNNNNNNNNNNNNNNNNNNNNNNNNNNNNNNNNNNNNNNNNNNNNNNNNNNNNNNNNNNNNNNNNNNNNNNNNNNNNNNNNNNNNNNNNNNNNNNNNNNNNNNNNNNNNNNNNNNNNNNNNNNNNNNNNNNNNNNNNNNNNNNNNNNNNNNNNNNNNUUGUGUGUGUGUGUGUGUGUGUUUGUGUGUGUGCGAGUGUGUGUGUGUGUGUGCGUGUGUGUGUGUAGGAGGCCGCCGGCGAGCGGCAAUCGAUCUUACAGCGGGGGCGGCGACGACGACGACGUGGACGACGAUGACGGGGACGGAGACGACGUACGGCGAUGGGGGCGGCGGGCCGGGGGGCGGCGCGUCGUACGGGGGAGGUGACGACGUACGGCGAUGGGGGCACACGGCGACGACGGUGACGGGGGCGGCGAUGACAACGAUGACGGCGACGGGGCCGCGCGCGUGGGGACAGGGGCGGCGCACGCGGGGACAGGGGCGGAAAGUGCGGGGACGGGGCGCGAUGAAGAUGAUAACUGAAAAUUUCCGUAAGUGCUGGUUAUAUAGGGGAGGCCUUUAGUACCGGUAGGAGACAGGAACCGGUACUAAAGGUGAAAUUUGGCCAGGCGAAGCGGCGGGAAGCGACCGCCUUUAGUACCGGUUUGUGGCUCCACCCAGUACUAAAGACCCACCCUUUAGUACCAGGUUGAGCCACGAACUGGUACUAAAGGGGGUGCGCUCCUGUUCCGCGCUGCUCAUUGUUUAGUCCCACCUCGCCGAGCGAAGGGCAGCCGCACUAGUUUAUAAACCCAGCCGCGGCUGCUCCUUCAAGCUCCUAUAUAAUGCAGGCCUCUGGGCCUAACUGUGCCGCACUGUCCUAUGAGCCUGCUGGGCCUUAUGGGCCUGCAUAAGCACGCCCAAGGCCGAGCAGGCCCACUGGGUAGCACGGAAAUAAUUUUUUUCAUAUAGUUUUUUCUUAUGUGGUUUAUAUAUUUUCUUCUAUUUAUUUGUGAGUAAUUUUUUGUUGUAUUUAGAGUUUCUUAUAUUUAAUAUUUGUGUGUUUAAUCAUUAUAUUUAUAUUUGUAGUGAUUUUUUCAGUUCAUUUUGUAGUGCUUUUCAGUUUCACGGUGAUUUAGCUCUGAAAACAAAUCAAUAAAUGCAUCGAAAAUAGCAAAUUAUGUCAGAAAGGGUUGAAAGUUGAUGACGUGGAGUUGAAUUGUGGAUCUGAACGCAAAAGAAAUCCGGAGUUGUACUAAGUUAUUAAAAUAUUGAAUAGUCGGUGUAACAGAUGCGUUUUCGUGUGAAACCCGGAUACUUCCUAAGAGAUUGUCCAGUUUGUACACGAAGUGCAUCUAGUUUUUGCCAUAACCCUCUCUACUUUUUUGCACAUGCUAUGCGGGUGAAAUGAUGAUACCUUACCAAGUUUCAACCUUUUCGGAGUUCAUUUUGUAGUGCUUUUCACUUUCACGGUAUUUAGCUUCGAAAACAAAUCAGUAAAUGCAUUAAAAAUAGCAAAUUAUGUCAGAAAGGGUUGAAAGUUGAUGACGUGGAUUUGAAUUGUGCAUCUGAACGCAAAAAAGUUCAGCGUUGUACUAAGUUAUUAAAAUAUUGAAUAGCCGGUGUGUAACACCCCAGAUGUAAAACUUCCAAAUUUGGCAAUAUAUCUAUGUUGGUCUCCAUCCAAUUCCAUUCAGGGUCCCAUCUUUUGGUCUCAUUUUCUUUUGUUAUGUUGUUCUACUCAUUUCAUUGCCAUGCAUACCUUGUCAUAUUGCGUUUGGGCUUCUUGUCAUAUUCCUUUUUGCCAUCAUAUGUCAUCUGCAUAUCAAUGUUGUGUUGUGCUUAUGUCAACUUGCAUUCCAUGAUAUGCAUGCAUGAUAUGUUAUUGCAUGUUCUAUGUGUGAUCCAUGCAUCACCACCUCCAUGCAUCACCAUCUCUCCGUCUCUUUCUUUCUUUUUGCAAGUGCCAUUUUACCCUCCUUCAUUAAUGUUCAACUUUGCCUCAAUAUUCUAUCACCAUGUCACUUACCUCCCUGUAAAUUUCAGCCUUUUUAUAAGUUGUUUUGGUUAGGUUUUAAAAUGGCUCAAGUUUGAACUCAAUUCAAACUUGAAUUAUUUUACUUCCUCUAAAAAUGCCCAGAUCAAUUUUAUCAAAUACUACACAAUUUCAGGACCUUGAGAAUAUGGUCACAUUUCUCAAAAUCCUCCCAAAUUCCCCUGUGCUUUUCCUUUUGUUUUCUGCCUGAAGGAAAAGGGGAAAAGCAUUAGCAGAGUAGCCAGCAGCACCCCCCUGGGCCUCGGCCUCCCAGGCCAGCCCAGCUCGCACCCCGCGUCAGCUGGCCCAGCGUGCCAGCCAGCCCGCUCGGUCUUCUCCUCCCUGCCUUUUCUCACCUACACGCGCGUGCACCCCCGCUAGACCCUCGCCACGUGGUUAGUCUGGCCCCGCUCGUCAGCGCCUACACUGCUCCCCGCACCCACCUUUUCCCUCUCCUCUCGCCGUCGCCAUGGGGACCGCGAGCACAAGCGCGUGUGAGCUCGCGCCACUCACCCUAGCCUUUUUAAGCCCCAAUUCCUUGUCCCCUGCUUCGCCUAGGGUUUCCCUCGUCCGCCGCCGCUGUUUCCUGGUAGGUUUAGCCACCAGAUCGAUCGCGCCAUCGCCAUCCCGAACGCAUCGGGGAGCACGUCCUCAUCGCCGGUGUGCUCUCCGUCGAUCUCUACCCCGCCUAGCGUGUCCCUCUUCUUCCCCGUCGUCCACUACGUCCCCGUCCUCGACUACGUGGAGUCGGAGCCCCUGCAACGACCUCUUCUUCCUCGUCUUCGAACCCGGCCGCCGAACGUAUUCGACCAUUACCAUCGCCGUCUUCGUCCACCUCUCGCCAAACCAAGUGCACCACCGUGCUUGUGGUGAGGACGCACAGCUUCCUGCCCCCUCUUCCCCCUCGUUCGCAUGCUCUAACCGCGGCCGCCGCGGGCUCCCGAUCUCGCCGCCGUCGGACCUCGUCUCCGGCGAGUGCUUCGACCUCCUUAGCGUCUCUGCGCGUGUCCAUCGGCGUCUCCAUAUCACGUAGGGUAGACUCGUGCUCGCUGCCGCUUGUUUAACCCCGCGGCUCGUCGUGGUCGAGUUUGUCGCCGCCCUCUCUCGAUCUCGUCGCCGGCAGCAUUUCUGUCGCCGUUGGGCAUCGUGCGUUCCAAGCGCGAGUUCGGGAUCCUCUUGUGAUCCCGUAGCACCCAUCCGCCACUCCGUUAGGUCGCCGGAGCUGCUCCGGUGAUCCCUUCGUCGCCUCUGGCCGCGCCGUUGCCUUCCUCUGCUUCCUCUGUUUUUGGUAGACGCCGUAGCAGUUUGGUAAGAGGAGAAGAACCCCUCCUCUAUCAGCUGUCGUCGUCUAGCCCAUUGGCUCGAGCCACUCGGUUGCAACCCAACGACCCGGGUUCGAUCCCCCGCGAGCGCAAGUAACCCCCCACUUUUAUCUGUUUAUGCAACGUGCGUGUGCAUGACAGGGUGGCCCCACCUGUCCUACUCACAAGGGGCCAUGACCCACCUAUCAUCCUCCCAUAGCCCUUGUUUUCCCUUUUUAAUUAUUUCCUAGCGAAUAGUCCAUUUCUGGUAUUUGGAAUCUAUCCAUUUCGGGCAAGUCCAUUUCUGGACGUUUUCAAAUAAGGAAAAUGCCAAUUCUGUCAUAUUCCACUUAGGGCAGUUUCUAACUUAUUGCAUUUGUGUUUAUUUUUCUACAGCAACCCCAACAUAUUAUAUAUGUUUUUGGGGUAGAAAAAUCCCACCAAUCCAGUGGUGGCAUUAGUUUCUGCAUUUGAGAUAGUUCAUGAACAUAUCAUUUUACUUCAUGUUGCUGUUUUGUCUUUUAUGUGUAUAUUCAUGCAAUUAUGCUACAUGGUUCUUUUGCACAGGGAUAGCUUCAUUUUCAUGUCUACUUCAUGCUAGAACUCGUUACAUUCCAUGACAUGCCUUGUAGUGAGUUAAUCAAGCUUGUAAAGAUGUCAUGCUGAAUCUGUUUUUGCCAUGUCCUCAAACUUCACUAAGUCUGGAACUGUUAAUAAAACUUGCUAUGUUUGCAUGGGUGCCAUCAUAUUUUAUGUGCCCUUUUGGCUCAUGGUCAGUAAAGGACUCUUGUUCUAUGCAUUUAGUUGAUUCAUUCCAUGUCUUUGUUUGCUAUUUUAUGUUUCUGUAGCAUGUUGUUUGCUAGCUCUAAACAUUGCUACCUGAUGUUGUUUCUGUUAUGUCUAGUAUUUUCACCAAGUCUGUAAAACUGUUAUCUUUUGCAUUAUUGCCAUGCUGUUUUAGUCAUGCUCUAGUGGUUUAUAGAUUUAGCUCAGUGUUCAUGUUUUGUAUAGCAUCUCCUGUACAUCACUGCUAUGCAUUUUGUUCAUAUGUUUGGGUGCUGUAGCUUAUUUAUAGUUUGCAUCCAAGUGGCCAUGUUGCUGUUUUAAGCAGUUUGCAUCAUAUCUUGUCUUGCUUGUCAUUUGCAAACCGUGCAUCCGAACCCGGUGAUCUUUAUAUCGAUUUCAACCGAAAUCAUCUCAUCUUUCCAAUAGCAUACUUGGUUUGCCAAGUGGAUGCCUUGUUCAUCUCUUCCCGUCCGGAGCACGCUUAUGCAUUGCAUAUCACAUCUCGCAUAUCAUGUCAUAUUUUGCAUCAUGUUGCUUGUGCUUUGUACCGUGGUUGAUUGUUGGUCCUUUGCUUGUGUUCUUGCUUUGGGUAGAGCUGGGAGAUGAGUGUGUGAACGAGGAACCUGUUGAGAACGCUUACGAGGAUCAAGCUUGCACAACUCUGAGAACUUUGCAGGCAAGAUGACCAUACCCUCGAUAUCAUUUCUAUCCUUGCUUCGCUAGUUGCUCGCUCUAUCGCUAUGUUUGCUCUACCUACCACUUGUUUAUCAUGCCUCCCAUAUUGCCAUGUCAAGCCUCUAACCAUCCUGUCCUAGCAAACCAUUGUUUGGCUAUGUCACCGCUUUUGCUCAGCCCCUCUUAUAGCGCUGCUAGUUGCAGGUGAAGAUAAAGUUUGUUCCUUGUUGGAACAUGGAUAUUUUGGGAUAUCACAAUAUCUCUUGUUUAAUUAAUGCACCUAUAUACUUGGUAAAGGGUGGAAGGCUCGACCUUAUGCCUGGUGUUUUGUUCCACUCUUGCCACCCUAGUUUCCGUCAUACCGGUGUUAUGUUCCUUGAUUUUGCGUUCCUUACGCGGUUGGGUGAUUUCUGGGACCCCCUUGACAGUUCGCUUUGAAUAAAACUCCUCCAGCAAGGCCCAACCUUGGUUUUACCAUUUGACUACCUACCACCUAUUACUUUUCCCUUGGGUCCUGAGGGUCUUCUUUAUUUUAGCCCCCCCCCCCGGGGCUAGUGCUCCUUCGAGUGUUGGUCCGAACUGGGCAGACUGCGGGGCCACCACAAGGAAACUCGAGGGCUGGUUUUACUCGUAGGCUGACCUAUCCGUUGUGCCCUGAGAAUGAGAUAUGUGCAGCUCCUAUCGGGAUUUGUCGGCACAGUCGGGCGGCUUUGCUGGUCUUGUUUUACCAUUGUCAAAAUGUCUUGUAAACCGGGAUUCCGAGACGGGUCUUCCUGGGAGAAGGUAUACCCUUCGUUGACCGUGAGAGCUUGUGAUGGGCUAAGUUGGGACAGCCCUGCAGGGUAUUAUCUUUCGAAAACCAUGCCCGCUGUUAUGAGGCAGAUGGGAAUUUGUUAAUGUCCGAUUGUAGAGAACUUGACACUUGACUUAAUUAAAAUGCAUCAACCGUGUGUGUAGCCGUGAUGGUCUCUUCUCGGCGGAGUCCGGGAAGUGAACACGGUUUGAGUUACGUUUGAACGUAAGUAGUUUCAGGAUCACUUCUUGAUCACUUUUAGCUUCUCGACCGAUGCGUCGCUUCUCUUCCCGCUCUCGUUUGCGUAUGUUAGCCACCAUACAUGCUUAGUGCUUGCUGCAGCUCCACCACCUUACCCCUUUCCUACCUACAAGUUUAAAUAGUCUUGAUCUCGCGGGUGUGAGAUUGCUGAGUCCCCGUGACUCACAGAUUCUACCAAAACAGAUGCAGGUACCGAGGAUACCAGUGCAAGUGGCGCAAUCGAGCUUAAGUGAGAGUUUGACGAGGACCUUGGUCAUUACUACGUUUCGUUUCCUGAUGAUCAGUAGAGGAGCCCAGUUGGGACAAUCGGGGAUCUAGCAUUUGGGGUUAUCUUCUUUUCAUUUGGAUUUGACCGUAGUCGGUCUAUGAGUGUAUCUUGAAUGAUGCAUGGAUUAAUUUCUGUAUUGUGUGAAGUGGCGAUUGUAAGCCAACUCUCUUUAUCCCAUUCUUGUUCAUUACAUGGGAUUGUGUGAAGAUGACCCUUCUUGCGACAAAAUCUACAAUGCGGUUAUGCCUCUAAGUCGUGCCUCGACACGUGAGAGAUAUAGCCGCAUCAUGGGCAUUACAAGUUGGUAAUCAGAGCCAUCCCCGACUUAGGAGCCCCCUGCUUGAUUGAUCGCUGGCGUUGUUGAGUCUAGAAAAAAAAUGUUUUGGGUCUGAGGAUUAUAUAUAUCGGAGAGUAGGAUUCUUUUUACUCCUCAGUCCCUUCGUUGCUCUGGUGAGGUCUCCUGACGUAGAAGUUUUGACUCUUCUCUCCUCAAAUUUCACUAUAUUUUUUAGGAUCACGCGGGUAUCUUGGAAUCGUUCCGAUGAUUUUGUGACGAGAACAUUGUUCUUGGUGCCUCCUGACAUUUAGGGGUUGUGGCAGUGUCCCGUGGAGUUGAGCUCCGAGGUGUUGUCGUCACAAUUUUAUCGUUGCAGUUCUGGAAUACCUGAGUUUUGCCGACAUCAAAAAUCUCUUUUAUGCAGUUGUUGGUGAGAUAACCUCGACGUCACCCAGUACUGGGGAGUUCGGGAGUAUUGCCAUAACUCGUAUAACGGAUGCUUUUCGAAGGUUGAGGUACACGAUUUCCGAAGGUUUCUUGGUUAUGUGUUGACGGAUGGAUACGACUGGAUGUAGGGAUUGUUAGUUUGGGUGAGAUAUAUUGCUUCCCCUGUAUCCCCAACACCUGAUUAAAUAACUAGAAAGUUUCGGGAGUUUAUAGGUGGGAUUCAAGUAGCUCUAGCAUUUCUUCCCGCAGAUAUUUGGUUGGUGAUUGGGUAAUCCUUACCACUUAUUUGUACCAGUUGCACCUUGUUAUUUUCUUUCAUCAAUCUCUUAUCAAGUGGCUUAUCACCUUAAUGCACGUGAUGUUAGCUUUGGAAUUCAUUCGUUCAUCCUUGUUCGAAUGUUUAUUGUGAAGACUAUAUGUUGCAAUUUCUAUCCAUUGAUUCAACUUGUCUAUCUGUCUAUCAAGAUGCUAACGGAUGUCACCCUCUUCAGGAUGGCUCCGCGAACGCGUCAGAAUCCGGAAUGCAAUGAUGGGAGUCAGGCGAACCCUCCACCUCCACCUCCGCCUCUGGAGGCAUGGCAAGCUUUGAUGGCAGCCACAAACGCCAACGCUCAGAUGAUGAUUCAGCUCAUGCAAGAGCGCAACCAAGGUCAAGGCAACCAAGGGAAUCAAGGUCAAGGGCAGUUCAAUCAUCAGCCUCAGUUUCCUACCCUCAACCAGUUCCUUGCAAAUCAGCUGAAGUCUUUCAGUACUGUGCCGAGGCCACAGACGCCGAUGAUUGGCUCAUGGAUAUCAACAAGCAUUUUGAAUGUAGCAAUGUCAGGCCUGAGGACUACGUCAAGUUCGCUUUUUUUCAGCUCAAGGACCAAGCAGCUGAUUGGUUCCAGCAAUACAAAGGUUCCAGAGGAGGUAGAGUGAUUACUUAGACUGAUUUUUGUCGGGACUUUAAAGCUCACCACAUUCCUACUAGUGUUGUUGAGAGUAAGCGUGAGGAGUUCCGCAAUCUCAAGCAAGGCAGCAUGUCAGUGUAUGAAUACAACAAGCCGUUUCAGAAACUUGCUCGCUUUGCUAAACAAGACGUUCCUUAUGAAAAGAGUAUGAUCUAUCAAUUCAGAGGUGGCCUUAGAGAGGAUCUGCAGUUAGCUCUCGUUCUUGUUGAGCCUACUCAGUUUGAUCAAUUCUACAAUAUGGCCCUCAAGCAAGAAGGUUCUCAGCUCAAGUGUGAGGCUUCUAAGAAGAGAAUCAGGGAUGCAGUUCAGUCUUCUUCUUCCUCUCAAGUGGCAGCUAAGCAGCAAAAGUUCUACCUUCCUCCUCCGUUUCGUCAGCCUUAUCAGCAGAAGAACUCAGGUGGUCGUGGAUCUUCCCACCCACCCAACCCAAGCUAUCAGAACAAGUCAAAUUCUCAAGCUCCAAGGUCUAAUGCUCCUUAUCAUCGCCCGCUCUCAGAGGUGACUUGCAACAAGUGCCAGCAGAAAGGUCACUACGCGAACAAGUGCUUCAGCCAAAGGCGCCUUCUGCCUCCACCUCCUGUGAGAUCUUCAAGCAAUGCAGUGGUCAAGCAUAAUCCAAAGCAUGCAAAGGUGAACAUGAUGAAUGUAGCUCAGGCAGAGGAUUCUUCAGAUGUGAUCAUGGGUAACCUUCCAGUUAACUCUAUUCCUGCAAAAGUCUUAUUUGAUACUGGUGCAUCGCAUUGUUUCAUGUCAAGACCGUUUUUUGCCAAGCAUGAUUUCACUUUGGAAUAUUUGGAUAGACCUCUAGCAAUUGUUUCCUCGGGCAAGCACAUGAGUUCUAGUUUCAUGGUUCCAAAUGUCGGUAUCAAGAUGGGCGACUAUAAAUUUCUGGCUAAACCAAUUGUCCUUGGGGACCCGGAUAUUGAUCUAAUUCUUGGGAUGGACUGGCUUUCUCAGCACAAAGCUCAAGUUGAUUGUGCUGCCAGAGAGAUUCAAUUGACACACUCUUCUGAGGAUGUUAUCAUCUAUGUCGCUCGGGAUGAAACCAUUCGGUUGUUUUCUCUCAAUGAGAAGGGCGAGCUAGACGCAAUCUCUCAGAUUCCAGUCGUUUGUGAGUACCAAGGUGUCUUUCCAGAAGAGCUUCCGGGUAUGCCUCCGCACCGGCCAGUCGAGUUCGUUAUUGAUCUUGAGCUUGGAACUGAACCCGUUUGCAAGUGUCCAUACAAGAUUGGACCAAAAGAGUUGAAAGAAUUGAAGAAACAACUCGAUGAACAAGAGCGUCUGGGUCUGAUCAGACCGAGUUCAUCUCCAUGGGGUUGUGGUGUUCUUUUUGUCCAGAAGAAGGAUGGCACGGACCGUCUUUGUGUCGAUUACUGUCCAUUGAACAAGAAGACAAUAAAGAAUAAGUAUCCACUUCCCAACAUCAAUGAGCUUUUCGAGCAACUCAAAGGUGCUAAAGUAUUAUCCAAGGUUGACCUCUGUAUGGGUUAUCAUCAGAUUCGCAUUCGUGAACAAGAUAUUCCCAAGACAGCAUUCAGAACAAGCUAUGGUUCUUAUGAAUAUAUUGUCAUGUCUUUCGGCCUUGUCAAUGCUCCUCCAACGUUCUCUCGAAUGAUGAACUUCAUCUUCAACCCCUAAACCAAUGAAUUCGUCUUGGUGUAUCUCGAUGAUAUUUUGGUCUUCUCCAAGAAUAAGAAGGAUCAUGCCAAACAUUUGCGAUUGGUGCUCGACAAGCUCAGAGAGUAUCAAUUCUAUGCGAAGUUUUCCAAAUGAGAGUUCUGGCUUUAUGAAGUUCUUUAUCUUGGUCAUAUCAUCUCUGCCAAGGGCAUCGCUGUUAAUCCCGAGAAGGUGUCUGCAAUUGUGAAUUGGGAACCUCCUCAGAAUGUCAAGCAGCUCCGCAGUUUUCUUGGUCUUGGAAGCUAUUGUCGAAGAUUCAUUGAGAACUACUCUAAGAUUGCAAAGCCUCUUUCCAACCUCCUCCAGAAGCAUGUCAAGUAUGUCUGGACGCCUUAGUGUAACAUUGCUUUCAACACCCUCAAAGAGAAGCUAGUCACAGCUCCUAUCUUGACUCCUCCUGAUGAAUCCAAGCCAUUCGAAGUCUUCUGUGAUGCUUCUCUUCAAGGUCUCGGUGCUGUGUCAAUGCAAGAGAAGAAAGUUGUGGCCUAUACCUCUCGUCAGUUGAAGCCCAACGAAAAUAACUACCCCACUCACGAUCUUGAGUUGGCGGCAGUUGUCCAUGCAUUGAUAACAUGGAGACAUCUCUUGUUGGGAAGGAAAGUGGACAUUUUCACCGAGCACAAGAGCCUCAAGUAUAUCUUCACUCAACCCAACCUCAACCUCAGGCAAACUUGAUGGGUCGAAAUGAUUCAAGAGUACAUUCCAAGUAUUGAAUAAACUCCUGGCAAGGCGAAUGUGAUUGCAGAUGCUUUGAGCAGGAAGGCUUAUUGCAACAGCUUAAUUCUCAGGCCCUUCCAACCGGACCUUUGUGAAGCUUUCCGCAAGCUGAAUCUUCAAGUUGUUCCUCAAGACUUUCUUGCCAACCUCAUAGUCUCUCCAACGUUGGAAGACCAAAUUCGUGAGGCACAACUUCUAGAUACCAUGGUGAAAAAGGUGAAACGUGGUAUCGACAAGGGCAUUCCCAAAUACAAGUGCUUCCACAUUGAUGACAAAGAUACUCUUUUAUUCGAGGAUCGAAUUGUGGUUCCUAAAGGCGAUCUGAGAAAAGUCAUUAUGAACGAGGCACACAAUUCCCUUCUAUCCAUUCAUCCUGGAAGUACGAAGAUGUACCAUGACCUCAAGCAGUCGUUUUGGUGGACUCGAAUGAAGCGAGAGAUUGCUCAAUUCGUGAAUGAAUGUGAUGUCUGCAGAAGGGUGAAGGCAGAACACCAACGACCAGCUGGUCUCCUCCAACCUCUUGCCAUUCCAGAAUGGAAGUUUGGCCAUAUCGAGAUGGACUUCGUGACUGGAUAUGCUAAGUCCAAGCGUGGAAAUGAUGCUAUCUUCGUUGUCAUUGACAAGCUUACUAAAGUGGCUCAUUUCCUUCCAAUCAAAGAAUCUAUCUCGGAAGCUCAGUUGGCAGAGCUAUACACCUCCAAGAUUGUCUCCUUGCACGGCAUUCCACAAUUGAUCUCUUCAGACCGCGGAAGCAUUUUCACCUCUAAGUUCUGGGACUCCUUUCAGAAGGCCAUGGGCACCAUCAUUCGUUUCAGCACAGCUUUCCAUCCUCAAACUAGUGGCCAAGUCGAGCGAUUCAAUCAAAUCCUCGAAGACAUGCUCAGGGCUUGUGUCAUCUCUUUCGGUAUGAAGUGGGAAGAUUGUCUUCCAUAUGCCGCAACAACAGCUUCCAAGCGAGUUCGGGCAAGGCCCCAUUAGAAAUUCUCUAUGGCAGAAAGUGUCGUACUCCUCUCAAUUGGUCCAAGACAGGUGAACGCCAACUUCUUGGCAACGACUUGAUCACAGAGGCCGAAGAAAUGUGCAAAGUCAUUCGUGAGAAUCUCAAGGCCACGCAAUCGCGCCAGAAGAGUUAUUAUGAUGACAAGCACCGUGACUUGGCUUCCGAGAUCGGAGACCAUGUCUACCUCUGUGUCUCUCCAAUGAAAGGCACUCGUCGCUUCGGUAUCAAAGGGAAGCUUGCCCCUAGAUAUGUGGGUCCUUUCAAGAUCAUUGGCAAAAGAGGCGAUCUCGCCAAUCAACUUGAGCUUCCGUCCAACUUCGCGAAUGUGCACAAUGUGUUUCACGUGUCACAGCUUCGCAAGUGCUUCAAGACUCCUGAGCGCACUAUCAACUUCGAAGAAAUUGACCUCCAACAAGAUCUCUCUUAUCAUGAGCACCCCGGUGCCAUUCUUGAAGAAACCCAGCGCAAGACUCGCAACAAGUCAAUCAAAUUCAUGAAGUGAAGUGGUCACACCAUUCCGACCGAGAAGGCACCUCGGAGCGCGAGGAUCACCUCCGUUCCGAAUAUCCGGAGUUCUUUCAGUCCUAGAUCUCGGGACGAGAUCCUCUUGUAGUGGUGGAGUGUUGUAACACCCCAGAUGUAAAACUUCCAUAUUUGGCAAUAUAUCUAUGUUGGUCUCCAUCCAAUUCCAUUCGGGGUCCCAUCUUUUGGUCUCGUUUUGUUUUGUUAUGUUGUUCUACUCAUUUAAUUGUCAUGCUUACCUUGUCUUAUUGCGUUUGGGCUUCUUGUCAUAUUCCUUUUUGCCAUCAUAUGUUUGCAUCAUGUGCAUAUCAAUGUUGUGUUGUGCUUAUGUCAACUUGCAUUCCAUGAUAUGCAUGCAUGAUAUGUUGUUGCAUGUUCUAUGUGUGAUCCAUGCAUCACCAUCUCUCCUUCUCUUUCUUUCUUUUUGCAACUGCCGUUUUACCCUCCUUCAUUAAUGUUCAACUUUGCCUCAAUAUUCUGUCACCAUGUCAUUUACCUCCCUAUAAAUUUCAGCCUUUUUAUAAGUUGUUUUGGUUAGGUUUUAAAAUGGCUCAAGUUUGAACUCAAUUCAAACUUGAAUUAUUUUACUUCCUCUAAAAAUGCCCAGAUCAAUUUUAUCAAAUACUACACAAUUUCAGGACCUUGAGAAUAUGGUCACAUUUCUCAAAAUCCUCCCAAAUUCCCCUGUGCUUUUCCUUUUGUUUUCUGCCUGAAGGAAAAAGGGAAAAGCAUUAGCAGAGUAGCCAGCAGCACCCCCCUGGGCCUCGGCCUCCCAGGCCAGCCCAGCUCGCACCCCGCGUCAGCUGGCCCAGCAUGCCAGCCAGCCCGCUCGGUCUUCUCCUCCCUGCCUUUUCUCACCUACACGCGCGUGCACCCCCGCUAGACCCUCGCCACGUGGUUAGUCUGGCCCCACUCGUCAGCGCCUACACUGCUCCCCGCACCCACCUUUUCCCUCUCCUCUCGCCGUCUCCAUGGGGACCGCGGGCACGAGCGCGUGUGAGCUCGCGCCACUCACCCUAGCCUUUUUAAGCCCCAAUUCCUUGUCCCCUGCUUCGCCUAGGGUUUCCCUCGUCCGCCGCCGCUAUUUCCUGGUAGGUUUAGCCACCAGAUCGAUCGCUCCAUCGCCAUCCCGAAUGCAUAAGGGAGCGCGUCCUUGUCGCCGUGCUCUCCAUCGAUCUCUACCUCUCUUAGCGUGUCCCUCUUCUUCCCCGUCGUCCAUUACGUCCCCAUCGUCGACUACGUGGAGCCGGAGCCCCUGCAACGACCUCUUCUUCCUCGUCUUCGAACCCGACCGCUGAACAUGUUCGACCAUCACCAUCGCCGUCUUCGUCCACCUCCCACCAGACCAAGCGCACCACCGUGCUUGUGGUGAGCACGCACAGCUUCCUGCCCCCUUUUCCCCCUCGUUUGCAUGCUCUAACCGCGGCCGCCGCGGCCGCCCGAUCUCGCCGCCGUCGGACCUCGUCUCCGGCGAGUGCUUCAACCUCCUUAGCGUCUCUGUGCGUGUCCAUCGGCAUAUCCGUAUCACGUAGGGUAGACCCGUGCUCACUGCCGCUUGUCUAACCCCGCGGCUCAUCGUGGUCGAGUUCGUCGCCGCCCUCUCUGGACCUCCUCGCCGGCAGCGUUUCCGUCGCCGUUGGGCGGCGUGCAUUCCAAGUGCGAGCGCAGGAUCCUCUUGUGAUCCCGUAGCACCCAUCCGCCACUCCGUUAGGUCGCCGGAGCUGCUCCGGUGAUCCCUCCGCCGCCUCUGGCCACGUCGUUGCCUUCCACUGCUUCCUCUGUUUUUGGUAGAUGCCGUAGCAGUUUGGUAAGAGGAGAAGAACCCCUCCUCUGUCAGCCGUCGUCGUCUAGCCCAGUGGCUCGAGCCACUCGGUUGUAACCCAGCGACCCGGGUUCGAUCCCCUGCAAGCGCAAGUAACCCCCCCCCCCCUCUUUUAUCUGUGUAUGCAACGUGCGUGUGUAUGAUAGGGUGGCCCCACCUGUCCUACUCACAAGGGGCCAUGACCCACCUGUCAUCCUACCAUAGCCCUUGUUUUUCCUUUUUUUUUAAUUAUUUCCCAGCGAAUAGUCCAUUUCUGGCAUUUGGAAUCUAUCCAUUUCGGGCAAGUCCAUUUCUGGACGUUUCCAAAUAAGGAAAAUGCCAAUUCUGUCAUAUUCCACUUAGGGCAGUUUCUAACUUAUUGCACUUGUGAUGAUUUUUCUACAGCAACCCCAACAUAUUAUAUAUGUUUUUGGGGUAGAAAAAUGCCACCAAUCCAGUGGUGGCAUUAGUUUCUGCAUUUGAGCAAGUUCAUGAACAUGUCAUUUUACUUCAUGUUGUUGUUUUGUCUUUUAUGUGUAUAUUCAUGCGAUUAUGCUACGUGGUUGUUUUGCACAUGGAUAGCUUCAUUUUCAUGUCUACUUCAUGCUAGAACUCGUUACAUACCACGACAUUCCUUGUAGUGAGUUAAUCAGGCUUGUAAAGAUGUCAUGUUGAAUCUGUUUUUGCCAUGUCCUGAAACUUCACUAAGUCUGGAACUGUUAAUAAAAUUUGCUAUGUUUGCAUGGGUGUCAUCAUAUUUUCUGUGCCCUUUUGGCUCAUGGCCAGUAAGGGACUUUUGUUCUAUGCAUUUAGUAGAUUCAUUCCAUGUGUUUGUUUGCUAUUUUAUGUUUCUGUAGCAUGUUGUUUGCUAGCUCUAAACAUUGCUACCUGAUGUUGUUUCUGCUAUGUCUAGUAUUUUCACCAAGUCUGUAAAACUGUUAUCUUUUGCAUUAUUGCCAUGUUGUUUUAGUCAUGCUCUAGUGGUUUAUAGAUUUAGCUCAGUGUUCAUGUUUUGUAGAGCAUCUCCUGUAUAUCACUGCUAUGCAUUUUGUUCAUGUGUUUGGGUGCUGUAGCUUAUUUAUACUUUGCAUCCAAAUGGCCAUGUUGCUGUUUUAAGCAGUUUGCAUCAUAUCUUGUCUUGCUUGUCAUUUGCAAACCGUGCAUCCGAACCCGGUGAUCUUUAUAUCGAUUUCAACCGAAAUCAUCUCAUCUUUCCAGCGGCAUACUUGGUUUUCCAAGUUGAUGCCUUGUUCAUCUCUUCCCCUCCGGAGCAAGCUUAUGCAUUGCAUAUCACAUCUCGCAUAUCAUGUCAUAUUUUGCAUCAUGUUGCUUGUGCAUUGUAGCGUGGUUGAUUGUUGGUCCUUUGCUUGUGUUCUUGCUUUGGGUAGAGCCGGGAGACGAGUACGUGAACGAGGAAACUGUUGAGAACGCUUACGAGGAUCAAGCUUUCGAUAACUCUGAGAACUUUGCAGGCAAGAUGACCAUACCCUCGAUAUCACUUCUAUCUUUGCUUUGCUAGUUGCUCGCUCUAUCGCUAUGUUUUCUCUACCUACCACUUGUUUGCCAUGCCUCCCAUAUUGCCAUGUCAAGCCUCUAACCAUCCUGUCCUAGCAAACCGUUGUUUGGCUAUGUCACCGCUUUUGCUCAGCCCCUCUUAUAGCGUUGCUAGUUGUAGGUGAAGAUGAAGUUUGUUCCUUGUUGGAACAUGGAUAUUUUGGGAUAUCACAAUAUCUCUUGUUUAAUUAAUGCACCUAUAUACUUGGUAAAGGGUGGAAGGCUCGGCCUUAUGCCUGGUGUUUUGUUCCACUCUUGCCACCCUAGUUUCCGUCAUACCGGUGUUAUGUUCCUUGAUUUUGCGUUCCUUACGCGGUUGGGUGAUUCAUGGGACCCCCUUGACUGUUCGCUUUGAAUAAAACUCCUCCAGCAAGGCCCAACCUUGGUUUUACCAUUUGACUACCUACCACCUAUUACUUUUCCCUUGGGUUUUCGCGAGCCCGAGGGUCAUCUUUAUUUUAGCCCCCCGGGCAGUGAUCCUUCGAGUGUUGGUCCGAACCGAGCAGACUGCGGGGCCACCACGGGGCAACUCGAGGGCUAGUUUUACUCGUAGGCUGACCUAUCCAUUGUGCCCAGAGAACGAGAUAUGUGCAGCUCCUAUCGGGAUUUGUCGGCACAGUCGGGCGGCUUUGCUGGUCUUGUUUUACCAUUGUCGAAAUGUCUUGUAAACCGGGAUUCCGAGACUGAUCGGGUCUUCCUGGGAGAAGGUAUACCCUUCGUUGACCGUGAGAGCUUGUGAUGGGCUAAGUUGAGACACCCCUGUAGGGUAUUAUAUUUCGAAAGCCGUGCCCGCGGUUAUGAGGUAGAUGGGAAUUUGUUAAUGUCCGGUUGUAGAGAACUUGACACUUGACUUAAUUAAAAUGCAUCAACCGUGUGUGUAGCCGUGAUGGUCUCUUCUCGGCGGAGUCCGGGAAGUGAACACGAUUUGAGUUACGUUUGAACGUAAGUAGUUUCAGGAUCACUUCUUGAUCACUUCUAGCUUCUCGACCGAUGCGUUGCUUUUCUUCUCGCUCUCGUUUGCGUAUGUUAGCCACCAUACAUGCUUAGUGCUUGCUGCAGCUCCACCAACUUACCCCUUUCCUACCUACAAGCUUAAAUAGUCUUUAUCUCGUGGGUGUGAGGUUUCUGAGUCCCCGUGACUCACAGAUUCUACCAAAACAGAUGCAGGUGCCGAGGAUACCAGUGCAAGUGGCGCAAUCGAGCUCACGUGGGAGUUUGACGAGGACCUUGGUCGUUGCUACGUUUCGUUUCCUGAUGAUCAGUAGAGGAGCCCAGUUGGGACGAUCGGGGAUCUAGCAAUUGGGGUUAUCUUAUUUACAUUUGGAUUUGACCGUAGUCGGUCUAUGAGUGUAUCUUGAAUGAUGUAUGGAUUAAUUUAUGUAUUGUGUAAAGUGGCGAUUGUAAGCCAACUCUCUUUAUCCCAUUCUUGUUCAUUACAUGCGAUUGUGUGAAGAUGACCCUUCUUGCGACAAAACCUACAAUGGAGUUAUGCCUCUAAGUUGUGCCUCGACACGUGAGAGAUAUAGCCGCAUCGUGGGCGUUACACGGUGUAACAGAUGAGUUUUCGUCCGAAACCGUGAUACUUCAUAAGAGAUUGUCCAGUUUGUACAUGAAGUGCAUCCAGUUUUUGCCGCAACCCUCUCUACUUUUUUGCACAUGCUAUGCGGGUGAAAUGAUGAUACCUUACCAAGUUUCAACCUUUUUAGAGUUCAUUUUGUAGUUCUUUUCACUUUCACGGUGAUUUAGCUUUGAAAACAAAUCAGUAAAUGCAUCGAAAAUAGCAAAUUAUGUCUGAAAGGGUUGAAAGUUGAUGACGUGGAUUUGAAUUGUGCAUCUGAACGCAAAAAGGUCGGUGUUGUACUAAGUUAUUAAAAUAUUGAAUAGCCGGUGUGUAACACCCCAGAUGUAAAACUUACAAAUUUGGCAUUAUAUCUAUGUUGGUCUCCAUCCAAUUCCAUUCGGGGUCCCAUCUUUUGGUCUCAUUUUGUUUUAUUAUGUUUUUCUACUCAUUUAAUUGCCAUGCUUACCUUGUCAUAUUGCGUUUGGGCUUCUUGUCAUAUUCCUUUUUGCCUUCAUAUGUUUGCAUCAUGUGCAGAUCAAUGUUGUGUUGUGCUUAUGUCAAAACUUGCAUUCCAUGAUAUGCAUGCAUGAUAUGUUGUUGCAUGUUCUAUGUGUGAUCCAUGCAUCACCAUCUCUUCUUCUCUUUCUUUCUUUUUGCAAGUGCCAUUUUACCCUCCUUCAUUAAUGUUCAACUUUGCCUCAAUAUUCUGUCACCAUGUCAUUUACCUCCCUCUAAAUUUCAGCCUUUUUAUAAGUUGUUUUGGUUAGGUUUUAAAAUGGCUCAAGUUUGAACUCAAUUCAAACUUGAAUUAUUUUACUUCCUCUAAAAAUGCCCAGAUCAAUUUUAUCAAAUACUACACAAUUUCAAGACCUUGAGAAUAUGGUCACAUUUCACAAAAUCCUCCCAAAUUCCCCUGUGUUUUUCCUUUUGUUUUCUGCCUGAAGGAAAAAGGGAAAAGCAUCAGCAGAGUAGCCAGCAGCAGCAACCCCCCCGGGACUCGGCCUCCCAGGCCGGCCCAGCUCGCACCCCGCGUCAGCUGGCCCAGCGCGCCAGCCGGCCCGCUCGGUCUUCUCCUUCCUGCCUUUUCUCACCUAUGCGCGCGUGCACCCCCGCUAGACCCUCUCCACGUGGUUAGUCUGGCCCCGCUCGUCAGCGCCGACCCUGCUCCCCGCACCCACUUUUUCCCUCUCCUCUCGCCGUCGCCAUGGGGACCGCGAGCACGAGCGCGCGUGAGCUCGCGUUGCUCACCCUAGCCUUUUUAAGCCCCAAUUCCUUGUCCCCUGCUUCGCCUAGGGUUUCCCUCGUCUGCCGCCGCUGUUUCCUGGUAGGGUUAGCCACCAGAUCGAUCGCGCCAAAGCCAUCCCGAACGCAUCCGGGAGCGCAUCCUUGUCGUCGUGCUCUCCGUCGAUCUCUACCUCGCCUAGCGUGUCCCUCUUCUUCCCCAUCAUCCACUACGUCCCCAUCGUCGACUACGUGGAGCCGGAGCCCCUGCAACGACCUUUUCUUCCUCGUCUUCGAACCCGGCCGCCGAACAUGUUCGACCAUCACCAUCGCCGUCUUCGUCCACCUCCAGCCAAACCAAGCGCACUACCGUGCUUGUGGUUGAUUGUUGGUCCUUUGCUUGUGUUCUUGCUUUGGGUAGAGCCGGGAGACGAGUACAUGAACGAGGAACCUGUUGAGAACGCUUACGAGGAUCAAGCUUUCGACAACUCUGAGAACUUUGCAGGCAAGAUGACCAUACCCUCGAUAUCACUUCUAUCUUUGCUUUGCUAGUUGCUCGCUUUAUCGCUAUGUUUGCUCUACCUACCACUUGUUUGCCAUGCCUCCCAUAUUGCCAUGUCAAGCCUCUAACCAUCCUGUCCUAGCAAACCGUUGUUUGGCUAUGUCACCGCUUUUGCUCAGCCCCUCUUAUAGCGUUGCUAGUUGCAGGUGAAGAUGAAGUUUGUUCCUUGUUGGAACAUGGGUAUUUUGGGAUAUCACAAUAUCUCUUGUUUAAUUAAUGCACCUAUAUACUUGGUAAAGGGUGGAAGGCUCGGCCUUAUGCCUGGUGUUUUGUUCCACUCUUGCCACCCUAGUUUCCGUCAUACCGGUGUUAUGUUCCUUGAUUUUGCGGUCCUUACGCGGUUGGGUGAUUUAUGGGACCCCCUUGACGGUUCGCUUUGAAUAAAACUCCUCCAGCAAGGCCCAACCGUGGUUUUACCAUAUGACUACCUACCACCUAUUACUUUUCCCUUGGGUUUUCGCGAGCCCGAGGGUCAUCUUUAUUUUAGCCCCCCCGGGCAGUGCUCCUUCGAGUGUUGGUGCGAACCGGGCAGACUGCAGGGCCACCACGGGGCAACUCGAGGGCUAGUUUUACUCGUAGGCAAACCUAUCCGUUGUGCCCUGAGAACGAGAUAUGUGCAGCUCCUAUCGGGAUUUGUCGGCACAGUUGGGCGGCUUUGCUGGUCUUGUUUUACCAUUGUCGAAAUGUCUUGUAAACCGGGAUUCCGAGACUGAUCGGGUCUUCCUGGGAGAAAGUAUACCCUUCGUUGACCGUGAGAGCUUGUGAUGGGCUAAGUUGGGACACCCCUGCAGGGUAUUAUCUUUCGAAAGCCGUGCCCGCGGUUAUGAGGCAGAUGGGGGUUUCGUUUCCUGAUGAUCAGUAGAGGAGCCCAGUUGGGACAAUCGGGGAUCUAGCAUUUGGGGUUAUCUUUUUUUUCAUUUGGAUUUGACCGUAGUCGGUCUAUGAGUGUAUCUUGAAUGAUGUAUGGAUUAAUUUAUGUAUUGUGUAAAGUGGCGAUUGUAAGCCAACUUUCUUUAUCCCAUUCUUGUUCAUUACAUGGGAUUGUGUGAAGAUGACCCUUCUUGCGACAAAACCUACAAUGCGGUUAUGCCUCUAAGUCGUGCCUCGACACGUGAGAGAUAUAGCCGCAUCGUGGGCGUUACACGGUGAAACAGAUGAGUUUUUGUCCGAAACCGUGAUACUUCAUAAGAGAUUGUCCAGUUUGUACACGAAGUGCAUCUAGUUUUUGCCGUAACCCUCUCUAUUUUUUUGCACAUGCUAUGAGGGUGAAAUGAUGAUACCUUGCCAAGUUUCAACCUUUUCAGAGUUCAUUUUGUAGUGAUUUUCACUUUCACGGUGAUUUAGCUCUGAAAACAAAUUAGUAAAUGCAUCAAAAACAUCAAAUUAUGUCAGAACGGGUUGAAAGUUGAUGACGUGGAUUAGAAUUGUGCAUCUGAAUGCAAAAAAGUCCGGAGUUGUACUAAGUUAUUAAAAUAUUGAAUAGCCGGUGUAACAGAUGAGUUUUCGUCCGAAACUCUGAUACUUCCUGAGAGAUUGUCAAGUUUGUACACGAAGUGCAUCCAGUUUUUGCCGUAACCCUCUCUACUUUUUUGCACAUGCUAUGCGGGUGAAAUGAUGAUACCUCGCCAUGUUUUAACCUUUUCAGAGUUCAUUUUGUAGUGCUUUUCACUUUCACGGUCAUUUAGCUCUGAAAACAAAUUAGUAAAUGCAUCGAAAAUAGCAAAUUAUGUCAGAAAGGAUUGAAAAUUGAUGACGUGGAUUUGAAUUGUGCAUCUGAACGCAAAAAAGUCCGGAGUUAUACUAAGUUAUUAAAAUAUUGAAUAGUCGGUGUAACAGAUGAGUUUUCGUCCGAAACCCUGAUACUUCCUAAGAGAUUGUCCAGUUUGUACACGAAGUACAUCCAGUUUUUGCCAUAACCCUCUCUACUUUUUUGCACAUGCUAUGCGGGUGAAGUGGUGGUACCUUGCCAAGUUUCAUCCUUUUCAGAGUUCAUUUUAUAGUGCUUUUCACUUUCACUGUGAUUUAGCUCUGAAAACAAAUCAGUAAAUGCAUCGAAAAUAGCAAAUUAUGUCAAAAAGGGUUGAAAGUUGAUGACGUGGAUUUGAAUUCUGCAUCCGAACGCAAAAAAGUCCGGAGUUGUACUAAUUUAUUAAAAUAUUGAAUAGCCGGUGUAACAGAUGAGUUUUCGUCCGAAACCCUGAUACUUCCUAACAGAUUGUCCAGUUUGUACACGAAGUGCAUUCAGUUUUUGCCGUAACCCUCUCUACUUUUUUGCACAUGCUAUGCAGGUGAAAUGAUGAUACCUUGCCAAGUUUCAACCUUUUCAGAGUUCAUUUUGUAGUGCUUUUCACUUUCACAGUGAUUUAGCUCUGAAAACAAAUCAGUAAAUGCAUCGAAAAUAGCAAAUUAUGUCAGAAAGGGUUGAAAGUUGAUGACGUGGAUUUGAAUUGUGCAUCUAAACGCAAAAAAAGUCUAAAGUUGUACUAAGUUGUUAAAAUAUUGAAUAGCCGGUGUAACAGAUGAGUUUUCGUCUGAAACCCUGAUAUACUUCCUAAGAGAUUGUCCAGAGUUCGAACCGGCUCUUGUGUAAACAUGUAAAAAUAUACAUAAAAUACAUUGAUCAGUACCGCCUUUCAGCCAAAACGUGCUACUGCUAUAGAGAAAUACAUCAAAAAUACAUUGAUCAUCAAUGAUCUUUUUGUGUACAAUCUAAAUUGUCAAUAUGAGUCCUCUCCGGUAGGAACCGGAGAAGACUCAUAUUGCGGCCACAAAUUCUACACAUAGAGUUCAAUGAAGACCAAGUGGUUGCGAUAGUUUGAGAAGUAACAUAUUUAAGGUGGAAAAAACUCUGUUAGCGGAGCGAGGUGGGACUAAAAACCGCUGUUAACUAGGAACCUCUAGUGCCGGUUUGUGGCAUGAACCGGUACUAAAGGUGCCGGUGGGCCCCCAGCCUGACCCCAGCCUCCAACAACCACAUUAGUACCGGUUCGUGGCUCGAACCGGUACUAAAGGGUCGCCACGAACCGGUACUAAUGAUCUCCGCCCCCUAGUCGUUUGGACCGGCACUAAUGAUCACAUUAGUGCCGGUUUUGUUACAAACCGGGACUAAUGUGCUUCACAUUAGACCCUUUUUCUACUAGUGAUUGCUCGAUUAUGCUCGGAUUGAUUCUUUAGGGUGAAAACCUAGAUACUGGCCUUGAUGGCUGGAUCAGGGUAGCUCCCUUAUUGAAGGCAUUGAUGUUGAAGAACUCCGUCAUCCAUGUGGUGACAUGAGAUGGUUGGUGUAGAUAUGGUCAUUAUUCUAAUUUGUCGAUUGGAUCGCUUCGGUUUUGUAUGGUUUUUCCUGCCUACGCAUAGCUUUGGUUUUAUAUGACUUUGCUAAGUGCCGACGUAUUUUCGCGCGCGUGUGUGAGUUUGUGUUAGGUGUGUCUAUGUGCAUUUUAGCUAUGCAGAGAUCGGGUGUGUGCUUAUUUUGUUACGCAUUCUCUUGAUGCUUUAUUUUGAGCCAAUAAAAUCCACUCUUUGUCCGAAAAAUAUAUACACAUACCCGCAAGUAUAUGAAACUAGAAAUAUGCGCGGCAAAGAUGACUUUGAACGAUACAACAUAUCAUGCUACAUGCAUGUCACUCAUGUACUUACUUGAUUACACACUAUGAACCAAAAUUAGACAGAUUUACUGUAAGGAAGCUAGAAUUGCAUAUUAUUUCCAGAACAAUCAGGCUUUUGAAACAGGAAAAAAAAUCCAAUUAUUAUAUGGGUUUAAGAAACUGGGGAGGAGGGAGCACGAUUAGGGCUGUAAACGAGUCGAGCACGAGCGAGUUGGAGUUUGUUGUUGUCGUGGCCUUCCUCUCGCCGGAGCUCUCCUCUCUCGCUCUCUCAGCUCGCUCUCUGUAUCCAUGGCUCGAACCAACAAGCGAGAAGGAGGAAGAAGGAGAGGACAGGGACACGGCAAGAAUUACCCAGCGCACGAACGCUUCUUCCCUGAGCAACAACUCAGCCCGGCUACAUGGCUUACAACAGCUCCCCACCAGUUCAACCAUCACGCGGUUUCUAUGGGAUUUAUACCCGGGCUGGCGCAUGCACACGACUCGGCCCAUCCCGCCGCUCGCGCACGACCUGCAUGCCUGGCCGCAUGCGCCCACGACGCGCUCACCGCGGCCGCUUCCAACGCAUUGCUAACCACCUAGCUAGAUCACAUGGCUAUACCACUACGCCCCACACACACACACACGCCACGGAGCCGGCCGCGCCCGACUCGCCCCAUGCGCGCCCAUGCAUGCGCCUGGUGCUCCCAACACGAACGCCGCCAUCCGGGCAUGGCUUGCUGCUAUCAUUCACGCCCCAAGCCAUGACCCUUGCACGUGUCAGGCUCGUCGUCGGCGUCGCGCCGUCAUGUACGCCUCCGCUGCGUCUCCGUCACAAGCCUCCGCUCGCUGCCGCUGCAGCAGCCCACAGUCCCAUGCGCCGCCACGCCGCGUCUCCGUGCCACGCACCUUCCACGGUUGUCGCCCCGAGCCGUCGCGGCCUCUGCGCCACCACGCAGGUCCUUCGCGACCUUCUCGUCUCCGCGACCGCCGUGCCCUUCGCGCGCACUCCCCACGUCCCCGCGCUCCCGCCGCGCACGUACGCGAUCUGCGCAACCGGGUCCAGCGCCUCGACGUGGUCCACUCCCGCGGUCCCAACGUGCCUGCUACGUCUGGCGCGCGCCCAUACACGCGCUCGACGCGGUGAGCCCAUCGCCGCGGCUUGUUCUGCCACGCUCCGCACGCCUCCAGCCCGCGCCAUGAUCGCGCUCCGACGCGACCAACGCGGCCGAUCCGGCGUGUCCCGGAGCUUGGCCUUCUCUCCGCCGAGCCACGCCGCGCCGCCGCGCUCCCCGCACGCACGGCAUCACCGUGCUCCGCCUCCGCACGGGACGAGCGCCAUCGCCAGCGAGCUCCUCCGAACCCGAUGCUCCGAUACCAAUUGUUGUUGUCGUGGCCUUCCUCUCGCCGGAGCUCUUCUCUCUCGCUCUCUCAGCUCGCUCUCUGUAUCCAUGGCUCGAACCAACAAGCUAGAAGGAGGAAGAAGGAGAGGACAGGGACACGGCAAGAAUUACCCAGCGCACGAACGCUUCUUCCCUGAGCAACAACUCAGCCCGGCUACAUGGCUUACAACAGCCCACCAGUUCAACCAUCACGCGGUCUCUACGGGAUUUAUACCCGGGCUGGCGCAUGCACAUGACUCAGCCCAUCCCGUCCCUCACGCACGACCUGCAUGCCCGGUCGCAUGCGCCCACGACGCGCUCACCGCGGCCGCUUCCAAGGCAUUGCUAACCACCUAGCUAGAUCACAUGGUUGUACCACUACGCCACACACACACACACCUACGUACACCCACGCCACGGAGCCGGCCGCGCCCGACUCGCCCCCAUGCGCGCCCAUGCAUGCGUCUGGUGCUCCCGACGCGAACGCCCCUAUCCGGGCAUGGCUUGCUGCUAUCAGAGUUGGCUCAACUCAACUCAUAUGAAAGUUUGAGCGAGCUCAAAUUGAGUGAAGCUCAUGAUCAGGCUGUAGAACAUGACUCGUGCUCAGCUUGUAACGAUCUUGAGUCGAUCUCGAGCUAGUUUUGAGCUAAAUGAGAUGGUAAAAAUUAUAAAUCUAUGGAUGAAAAAUAAAUAAAAAUAAGGUGAAUAUGCUCGGAACCUUUGCAAAAAAAUAUAGGAUAUUUAACACAUAGUCGACCAAGUGCCAUAAUUAGGCCUAAAUCUUCUCUGAACUUAAUUUAGUUUCCAUUUUCAUUGGUAAAUAAAAUGGAGAAAAAUUAUGGACAACAUAUAUGGUAAUAAAUUAUCUUAUUUCCAUUUCAUAUAUAGCAUGAUCAUUUAAUAUAAUGAUAUUCUUCGAGCUAUCGAGCUAAAAUCGAGCGAGCCAACAUUGGUCAAGACGAGUUCGUUUCUCGGUCGAGCUACAUAAAGUGUUCAAACUCAACUCGUUUCUUUUCGAGUCGAGUCAAAAAACGAUUCGAUGUCGAGCGGCUCACGAGUUUCGAGCUUUUCUUGCUGUCCUAAGUAUGAUGCACUAUAAGCAUCCACAUAUUUGGACGGCUGUCAUAAAAUAAAAAGGGGACUUUUGUAGAACCACGGCCUUUUUGAUUUAUUUUUUUCCAUCAAUAUUUCUCGCAAAAGCUCAUGCUAUGACAAUUUUGUUACACAACAUGCUAUGACACAUCAUAGUGUAGUAAUGACUUCAUUUGGUCCACUUCGACCCGGCCGUUUUUGUAAACCUGACCUUGUUCAAUACUUGCUUCGUUUCAUAAUUCAAACUAAAACCACGACAAAAAUUAUGGAAUAGAGGGUACAAAUGUGACGUAGGACGUACAUCUUCCACGGUGGUGCAUCAUAGUUUAGCCACAUACAAUAUUGCAUUGUCAACUACUCCCUCUGUCUACUCUAAAAGAAACUACUCCCUUCAACCCAUAAUGUAAGAUGCUUUUGCAAACUAACAUAUUGUGGGAUGGAGUGAGUAGAUUUUUUGCUGCCUUGACAUGGCAUUGAAUAAAUUUGAGAGAGAAACAUAAGAGUACGACCUCGUGACUUGUCCAUAAACAACCUGGAUCAAGACCGUAUAUCAAAAUAACCAGAUACAGACCUUUGCAAGGUCGUCAAGCCUACAGGCAUGCCUAAAUUAUUGUCAACGGGUUACUAAUCCUGUGUGCGUUGGAUCUGUAUUUGUGCAAUUUGUCCUUUUCUUCUUCUUCUUACCUUUCUCAUAAAAACCGCCACGUCUCCAUGCUAGCCAAAUCAGCCACCAUCCCCAACAGAGAAGGAAGUUAAGAGGCAACCAGAACAAUUGACCAUUAGCUUUCCUUUUAGAACAACCUUAGCUAGGCAUAUUGGUUCGGAUGGAGUAACCAAGUAGUCACACUAACAACGAACAUAUCAGAAAUCAUAACAUAACAUAUUCGUAGGUAGCGAUUACAUGUUAGUAGAUUGCUCCACUAACUACUUAGUACUUCCACUAGAAUCAUGGAGCCCUUUAUUAGGAGACGCCUAGUGAAAACCCUAUG
rnacentral:lncRNA from 1 species